CAGAAACCUCAAACGCAGAGCAUACUAGCAGCAUAAGUGAUACAGUACCAAAAGCAAGAUUCCAUAGCACAAGGAAAAUACAAGCAUCAACUGCGACGGAGGAUGGUACGCUAGCAGUAAUAACAUGGCAACAACGGAAGGAACACAACCCAUCGAAAUCUGCCUGCCCUAGAAGGGUAGAGAACCACCAAGCCUCAUGGGUCUCAGGUCUCACAUGUCGUCCGGGUGCAUCUCCUCCUCCUCAUCCUCAUACUCACCCUCCUCAUCAGCGGUCGCAUCCUGGUACUGCUGAUACUCCGACACGAGGUCAUUCAUGUUGCUCUCAGCCUCAGUGAACUCCAUCUCAUCCAUGCCCUCGCCUGUGUACCAGUGCAAGAAAGCCUUCCUCCUGAACAUGGCCGUGAACUGCUCGCUCACCCUCCGGAACAUCUCCUGGAUGGAGGUCGAGUUGCCAAUGAAGGUGGAUGCCAUGGACAGGCCCCUCGGUGGGAUGUCACACACACUGGACUUCACGUUGUUGGGGAUCCACUCCACGAAGUAGGAUGAGUUCUUGUUCUGGACGUUGAUCAUCUGCUCAUCGACCUCCUUGGUGCUCAUCUUCCCACGGAACAUGGCUGAGGCGGUGAGGUAACGCCCGUGGCGAGGGUCAGCAGCACACAUCAUGUUCUUGGCAUCCCACAUCUGCUGUGUGAGCUCAGGGACAGUGAGGGCACGGUACUGCUGGGAGCCACGGGAUGUCAGCGGGGCGAAGCCAACCAUGAAGAAGUGGAGACGGGGGAAGGGGAUCAGGUUGACAGCCAGCUUCCGGAGAUCGGAGUUAAGCUGACCAGGGAACCUAAGGCAGCAUGUGACCCCGCUCAUGGUGGCAGAGAUCAAAUGGUUCAAGUCCCCAACUGCAGAAAUUAGAAAACAUAAAACAAUAUGUUAUCAGUUAUCACACAGACAAUACACUAGAACAAGAAUGUGUACAGCUGCAGUACUGAACAGAUAAAACUGUGAAAGAUUCAAGCUCCUUACAGCUAGGUGUGGUGAGCUUGAGAGUCCUGAAGCAAAUGUCGUAGAGGGCCUCAUUGUCAAGAACCAUGCACUCAUCAGCAUUCUCAACCAAUUGGUGGACUGAAAGAGUGGCAUUGUAUGGCUCAACCACAGUGUCAGAUACUUUCGGUGAGGGGAAAACUGAGAAUGUCAGCAUCAUGCGGUCAGGGUACUCCUCUCUGAUCUUUGAGAUCAGCAGCGUACCCAUACCAGAUCCAGUACCACCACCAAGGGAGUGGCAUACUUGGAAUCCUGAACACACAAAAAAGAUGGUGUUGAUGUUUGUUGUAACAUGGCAAAGGUGCUUGGGCAAUAGAAAAACAAAUGCCAACCAAGAUACAGGACACAGAUAUAACAGCUUGCUAUGUAUCCCAUUUGUUUGAUAUAGAUUGAAGAAUAUGUCAACAGCACACAGGAUAGAUACUCAAAUACGAAAUUACUAAGCAAUCAGUAAUGCGUAUCAAUGUCGUUUAGGGCAAUGCAGAAAUAUAGGAUUUUAACUAAGACAAGCAAAUGACUAAGGUUCAAGAGCAAAAGCAGCUUCAUAAUAACAAGAUAUCAUCAUGCCAUGUAUAGCAUCAGCUAUGAAUUGGAUACGAUGUGUUGCAUCAUAGCAAAAACUCAUAUGCAUGGUAAAAGAUUCAAAGUAGGAGAUACUUUCACAGGAGCCUCACUCUAAUUGCUUCAACGGAAACUGAACUAACAGCUAUAUUAGCAAUCAGUUAUUGUCAACAAGCUUAAGUACCUUGCAGGCAGUCACAGUUCUCAGCUUCCUUCCUCACAACAUCCAGAACAGAGUCAAUGAGCUCAGCACCUUCAGUGUAAUGGCCCUUAGCCCAGUUGUUACCAGCUCCAGAUUGCCCAAACACAAAGUUGUCAGGGCGGAAGAUCUGCCCAUAGGGUCCAGUGCGGACACUGUCCAUUGUCCCAGGCUCAAGGUCCAUGAGAACAGCACGGGGCACAAAGCGGCCACAGGAGGCCUCAUUGUAGUAGACAUUGACACGCUCCAACUGCAGGUCAGAGUUGCCAGUGUACCGCCCGGUAGGGUCAAUGCCAUGCUCGUCACACACCACCUCCCAGAACUUGGCACCAAUCUGGUUGCCACAUUGCCCACCCUGGAUGUGCAAGAUCUCUCUCAUCUUCGCCCUAUAAACAAGGAAAGCACAUAGGAAUUAAUUUCAGAUGUUGCAGCAAGCACUUAAAACACAGUGCCAAAGCAAAACAUUUGCUAGUUGCUACCCUACUCAAGUUGAUUAGAUCAAGCAUGCCCACUUGUCCGGCCAUUUAAACUGAAUCAGAACUUUGUGAUCAUAAAUGAGGGUGCAAGCAAGCUCACAUUGCCCAACACAUGUGGAUGUGGGGGCAGGUUGAACAAAGAUAGCUGCUCCCAACACAUGCAAGGGGUGGCAAUUUCAUCAGGUGUGAGUUCUCAGCUAAUAAAGAACCGACGACAUAUGAAGUAAACGAACAUCUAACGUCCUGCGAAAUACAGAGAAACAAAUCCAUACUGUUCCAAUCCGAAAUGUCACUGAACUCUGACAUGGAUCACAUAGAGAACAUCCAGAUCUGGGGUUUGCAAACCAGCUUACACAUAUCAAUCGCGGAAUCACCUACUAAGUACUAAAUGCAUCAGCAUCUAUAGCAGAUCUACGACUCCAGAACUCCUCGUGAUUAUAAUUUCACAAACUAAAACGCUCAAAUGGAGACGUCGGUUUCAGAUCCAGCUUCAGUCCGAAAAUGUAUAGCCCAAAUUUGUGCUUAGCUUACCAUAACAAAUCCACGAAGCUCUCUACAUCUAACAGUUACAUUCCCGAGAUCAAGUGAUUAGGCGCAGAAAUACCACGGAAAUCGACAAAUCCAACACCAGAGAUCCACACAAGUACGCACUUUCACUAAACUAAUCGAAUCAUUUAGUUGAAACAGAUCAAAACAAGGACUGGCACAGGACACGCCUCGGUGGAAAUCAGCAGAUCCAAGCGCAUUACCGGUUACAUCGCGAAACCGACGCCAAAAAAAAUGACAGAAAUCCUAGCUAACGACGGCCCAAAUCGCCAACACAAAUCAGAAGUGACGCAGCGCAAUUCAAAAACUCGCUCACGAAGGCAGUUCAAAAAUCCUUACGAGGUAGGAGGUGAUCCAAACGGCGAGGCGACCGGCGGCGAGGGAGCGAGAUAGAACGGGGAGGUAGAGGAGGGCCGGGGCGAGUGCGGCGUCGGCAGGGCGGGGUUAAAUAGCCGUAGGCGGUGGAGGCAGCGGCCGGCAUCCGACGGCCCGCGCCCUGCCGUUCCGGGCCCUCCUCGCGACGCACGGCGCAGAUCUCUCCCCCCUUGAGUGAUUUUCAAAUUUCCCCCCCUGCGGCGAACUACCCGAACUGCCCCUGCAAAUAUCGCCACCGCGCCGGGGGCCACGGAGAAGCCGGGCCCGCGACCCGCCUAGCCUGUUCCCGAACUGCCCCCGGGUAACAUUUCGCCUUGCUGGCCCCCGCCUGUCGGCGCAAGCUGGCUUACGCUGGGUUUAUCUUCGCGGACAGCCACCUCUACUGACAGAUGGGCUUAUCUGUACGUGGUCCCCACGAGUCGGUGAGAAGGGUCAAAGAGAGGAGGCGUUGCGGCGGUGCGAGCGGUGGGCCAGGGCAGCGGCUGGCCCAUGUGCGGGGGUGCGAUGGUGGGGUACGCUCAUUGGUAGGUGGUGGACUGGUGGGUGCCGGUUGGUGCGAGGUCCAGCCAUCAGUGACUCAGUGACCGACGCGUCCGCGCUACGGCUCCGGCAGAGGGGCCCGGCGGCAUGUGAGCGACCACCCCUCAGCCUUUCCGGGGACUCGCGUGCGGGGCACGUGCGCCGCGGCCGUCUGUGGCUCUGUUGCUUUCCUGUUCUGAGCUGUUCAUUCAAGAUUGGAUCUUGGCAGGAGCAGGAGCAGGGGAGCACACCGUUCUGUUCUUCUUCGCACGGUAUUUUUGUUCAGUGCAAGCCGUGGCGUUGGUCUCAUGGGCACUUGUGGGAGGAACAGGGUGGCGUCCUGGAGAAUCUUUGGCCAGCGAGGCUUUAGGUGUGAGGUCAGUGUUCUCGCAAAAAAAAAAAAGUGUGAGGUCAGUGGAUAAGCUGCGGCGUUGCUUCGCUGGACAUGAGAGCAGCUGGGGACAAGCUCCUACUACAUCCAUCCAUCCAUCAAUAGUAAAGAAUUAAAUCUCCCUUCAAACAGUUUUAAAUUUAAUUAAAUUUAUACAAAAUAAUAUUUAUAUUUAUAUUAUGAAAUAAGUAUCAUUAGAUUAAUUAUGUAAUAUAUUUUCAUAUUAAAUUUAUUUAAAAAUAUAAAUGUUAGUUUUUCUAUAAAUUUGAUUAAAUUUAAAAUUAUUUGAUUUCUUAAAAAGCGAGAGUUGUAUUUUCUUUUAAGAUGGAGGGAGUACCUACCGUAUGCGGCAUGAUUGAGCUCGGCGGGUGUACGAAAAUAUCCUUCCAACUUGUUUGACAACGGGUAUGGUUUCCCAACGAAAACUGGAGGAUCGUUCGUUCGGCUAGUCUGUCCGAUUAUUCGAGCGUAAUCUCUCUUGUUUCUGUGUUUUGUGUUUGGUGAGCAUAUCAGGAAGUCGUCUUGAUGAUCAGUCAUCUUCAGUGAUCAGUGGCUAGUUUCGGAUGGCAGGUCGGGGUACGCAGCUUGCCCAGGCCCAGUUGCUGCUUCUAGGAAACGGGUCCAAUCGAACUCAAAAGUUAGGCCCAUUUGCGCUAUGUUUUCGUACUUGCAGCUUUGAUUGAGAAUGGGGGCAGGGCACUGGGCAAUCGCUGGUCACUGUUCUUUUCUGGUGAAAAUCAGAGUGGUAUUUUGUAAAGCACCACAGCUGUAAACGAAGAAGAAAAAUUCAGAAUUGGUACCCGGCCCACAGACCACAGCUGCUUCCCGCGUGCCGCCGCCGUGCCGUGGCCCCACACGUCAUCCACACGGCACGACCACACAUGCGUGGAUCCGGCACGUUAGCAUCCUCGCGCGCAUCCGGAAAGCGGGGCCCACCCGCACCCCGACCCAUACCCACUCCACUGGUGCGGAGCUAGGACGACGUCACCUUCCGCUCAGCUCAGCUCGCCUCGCUCGAACCAGGAAGAAAGCGAAGCAGAGGAAGCGAGCCGGCGGAGGCAGCGGAGAUGUCGGCGGGGCUGGUGACCGACGAGGCGACCAUGGGCCGGCUCUACCGGAUCCGGCGGACGGUGAUGCAGAUGCUGCGCGACCGCGGGUACCUGGUCGGGGAGCACGAGCUCGCCACCAGCCGCCGCGACUUCCUCCGCAAGUUCGGCGAGUCCUUCCACCGCGAGGACCUCCUCAUCAACAAGUACAAGAAGAACGACCCCUCCGACCAGGUCAGUCAGCAGCUCAGCUCAGGUCGGCACCCGAUCCAAUCCGAACGCGGCCCGCCGCGCCGGUCAACUGCCUCCCCUGCUUCCUGCCGCCCUUGAUCGGAUCAGACGGUACGGAAGCUUGUAGCCAGCUGCUCGAUCCAGUUCCCUCUGCGUUUGAUGCCCCUUUCUCUGGAUGGGAGCGUCUCUUCUUGAAUCCGUAGCUCUGCUCUUGCACGAUCGAUCAAAUCGAGAGGUCCCGAUCGCGAUCGGCGGUGUGGAUACGGCGGCAAGCUAAAUGCUUCCCGUGAAGAACAGAGAACACAAGUGGCGUCUCCCAUCACUGAGCACCGAUCGAGCUUAUCGUCUGCCUGAUCUCAGCUCACGAAUCGAACCAUGCCAAACUAGCGUUUAGAUUCUGUGUGUUCACACCAUAAUUCAACAUGGUGACCCAAUUCCAAAAUUCGCACGCCCGCAUCUGCAGUCAACUGCUGCAUAAAUACUACUGCUAGCUUGUUGAAGUGUGAACCUACCGCGGCAAUUUAAUGUGGUCAGCGUUUCAAUGCUUGGAUAAUUCGAUAUAGGUUUCAGAUAGCAUUGAAAACAUAGUUCAGAUUGCAAUAUUGCCAUUUUGUCAGCAUCAAUCCUAAAUAGUAAAGUUCAGCAUUAACAGUUAACAGUUGAACUUGGUACUCCUCCUGGUUGUGUAAUUUGUUUCUUAUGUGUUCAAUCAGAUAUAUGUUUUCUUCCCCAACGAUGAUAAAGUGGGGAUGAAACACAUCAAGAAGUACGUUGAAAUGAUGACACAUGAUAACGUCUCCAGAGCUGUGGUGGUUCUUCAGCAGAAUCUCACUCCCUUUGCCAAGUCGUUUCUCAUUGAAUUAGAACCGAAGAUCCACUUGGAAGUUUUCCAGGUGAGUCUUGCACAAACAGCAAGCUACUGCACUUUGACCAAUGGACCAGCAUCAUCGCUUGGUCAGUCGUGCUAUUGUGCAAUGAUAUUCUGCUCUGUUUUAUCUGCUAACUGAAGAAAUGAACAGGAGGCCGAGUUGCUUAUAAACAUCAAGGAGCAUGUUCUUGUUCCCGAGCAUCAGGUGCUCACAAAUGAGGAGAAGAAGACAUUAUUGGAGCGUUACACCUUAAAGGAAACUCAGGUAUUGCUACUUAUUCACACUUGCAAGUUUAGCUUUUCGGGCCAGGGGAGCCAAUCAUAUAUCUAUACUUUUCUAAUUUACUAAUUGGUUGUAGGAUCAGGUUAGCAUGAAGUUUAACUUUCUAGAGCUCCAGCCAUUUUAAGUAGUCACUUUUGAUCAACCUUCUUUGAUCAUUUUUACUUCCACAAUUCUAGUUUGUAGCUUAAUCAUUUACAGUAGAAAUUUCCUAAUUAGACAAACAUACAUAGGCCACCUGUGGCAUAAGCAUGCAUGGAACGCACUAUGUUAUGAUGCAACAGCAUUGUUUAGGAGUCCAUCACAUCAUACGAAAGUAAUUACUAGUUCUUCCCAAAAAGAAGGAAACAGUAAAAUCAGUCACAGAUAUAGAUGGGUCUGGCAGUCAGAGAAUGUCCUCAUUCUCUGCAGUUUGCUCCAAGAGAAUUGGUCCACAGUUAUCCUAUUGGAAGUGUGCCGGAUUAACCACUGAAAACUGAUCGAUGGCUUCUUGCAUUGUUCAGUACUUCAGUAUUGUUGCUAUCUUGCCAGAUUAACCCACAAAAAGGCUCAGUUUUUUUAUAUCCUCAGCAUAUUUCAGUAUGUAUGUUGCUAGUAAAUAUGAAAAUGCUUUCAAGUGUAUAACCUCUCACGACCAAACAGCUUCCAAGAAUACAGAUUACGGAUCCCAUUGCAAGGUACUAUGGCCUCAGACGAGGUCAGGUGGUGAAGAUCAUCAGACCCAGUGAGACGGCCGGCAGAUACGUCACGUACCGCUACGUCGUAUGAGACAACGUCGCAAAAAUCAGAACACAAGUGAAAAACUGAAGAAGAGAACCAUAGAUAUGGUAAAUUUUGAAGUUACACACAUAUAGCCAUGUGCUUGGAGAAAUCAGUAUCGCUUUGUAGCAGACACUGUCAACGAGACAGUGGAUGCUGUUUGAGUGAAUUUGAAUAAGCCGAGUACAUGGAACUCAGAUGAAUCCUCACGCUGUACACUUUUUUGAUGAACUGUAUAAACACUGCAUAAUAAUAGAAGCUUGUUUUCGGAGUGAUUGAAGCUCCUGAAAUUGCUCGUGGAUGACUCUUGGGCGUCGAGCACUGUUAACGAGUCGUCUUCUUCUUUUGUUUUGAUGAGAUGCUUGUGAUGAAUGAGAACCGAGCAAUAGUUUGGAACUUUGGAUGAUCAGCAGAUGUGGCUGGACCUCCUGCCCAGCGGGAAUCAAAUCCCUGGUUUGACACUAGCUCUAAAAGUCCUUCUCUAUCAAUACAUGCCGGUAAAUUCUUGCCGGUUGACUUUUCAAAAAAGAAAAAAAAACCCCGGCUCUAAAAGAAACAAGAACUUGUGAUGAAUCUUUGGGAGUACCAGACUACCACUCUACCAUGGGAGAAAUAGAAAGAUCUCAGAUUUGUCAGGCCUUGGGCUGGGCUGGCCUGUCUUAGAGUGGGCCUUCGGCUUUAGUCGGAGGCCCCAGGACCUAUACAGCCCUCGCCGAAAUCUCUGUGACCUUCUUUCACAAAAAAAAAAAUCUCUGUGAAGAGUUUGAGGGACGCUUGCGAAACACGCAGACAUGGUCGGCGGUGAAAAUUUUGUGUUUCGAGGGACGCUUAGGACCCAUGCACUGCAACGCGUUGCCAUAUGCGUAUUGCGCUAUUGGAGUAUUGGCAGUGGGCACCGCUCGUCCGAUCCAAACAUGCGAGCAGGCAAGUGAACUCUGGUAGAGCCGUCGACCGCGGAGACGUGACCACGGCCGCAGCACAACGCACAGGGAGGGACCAGUGUUAGGCAUCGGCAGCCAACAACUUGAAGAGUACUGACUGAGUACACGAACCUACUCCGUCAGGGCACCGCGCGUUAAGUCUGCACUGGCAAUUGCAGCCUUGCAGCGACGCCUAAUAAAGAUGCGGCUACGUUUUAGUAGCAGUAGGUGGCAUCGUUAGCACCACCUUCCAGCCUUCCACCAACCAAACAACACGAGCAGAGGAACGAGAGAGAAAAUGCAGGGCGAAACAGUACUAGCAUAAAGAAAGAUGAGGACGGAGCCACGAACACGGAGUCGCAACGUCCCGGUUGGGACUUGAGAGAGCCCAGCCGGGGAUAGAAUAUGCAGGCAUAAAAACAAGUCAGGAUGAUGCACCCAGGGGGGCAAAGGAAACCGCGAAAUGAUUCGCGAAGCGGGUACGUUCCAGAAAAAGAAAAAAAAUGCAAAGCGAGACAGCGAACCACCGGUGCUUUGAGUUCGUGCUAAUCCUCUCUCUCUUCCAAAACGAGUGGGCGCAAUCAUUCAUUACGCGUUCGUCUUUUGCCGAUAAAAUAAAAUAAAUGGUAGCAAACGACUGAGAGGUCAUGCAACUACACCAUGCCAGUCCUCUUGUUUGUGCCGAACACCAGAUCAAAAGAAGUCCCCAUCUUUGGCGGAGCUGUAGCUGAACCGAACCGGAGCGCUAGCCAUCCGCUCUCCUUCCACGACACUGUCCCUGUCGUGACGGCUCAUCGCGGACACCGGCGGCCUCGCCGGACCCCAUUAGGCGAGGCAUGCACGCGCGCCCGUUCUCGCGUUACGGGCAUGCAGCUCGGCCCUCCUCUUGCAGUCUUGCUCCAUGAUUGAUUCUCCGGGUGACGCCAGUGGAGGAGCAUUCACUGAUUCAGAGAAAAAAAAAUACGUCCAGCGGCGGCUGGACGGCUAGCCGGGUGAAAAAUUCUGCAGACCAAACGUGUGGCACGACGGAGGCCACCGGCGAGGCACCGACCGCCGCCCACGUACGUAGGCGCCGCUGCCUGCCCCCUCGCUUGCGUGUUCGAUUCCGGGUCAAAGGGUUCGUUGGACGUUUUGGGUAGCUGUCACGGGCCGUUCCGCGCUUCCGUGUGCCGUGUCGCACUGCCGCGGUCGGCCGCGCGCAAGACGCCGCUGCUGGUCUCUUCUCUCUGGCCGCAUCUCGGCAGCAGUAGUGCACUCAGGUGGUCACCUCGUAUAGCACUCAAGUACAUAUACGCCUAGGUAAAUGCAGGCUGCAAUACAAGCAAAACAAAGUCAUUUGAUACGUAAUAAGUACUGUAGCAUAAUGUAAUACUAGUAGUACUAGCAAAUUUUUAAUCCUGGCGCUGAUUGUUCAGUUGGACGGACAGGAGGCAGCACAUCUCGAACUGCACGAGGGAUUCGAACUCGGAUACAUUUAUGUUGCCAAUCCCGUGACGCUCACAUAGAAAAUCCCCGGCCGGUCAGCAAGGCCAGGCACCUGGCAGUGGCAGUCACCCAACCCAAGGCCAUUUUAAAAGGAGGGCCCACGUCUCAGUGACCGUCCUGCUCGCACAAAUCCUAAACGAAACCCUGUCGCUAAUCGCUAGUCGCCGCCGCAGCAGUACAGCUGCAGCAUCCGUAGCCUUCGUUCCCCUUCCCUUCCUUUCCCUUCGCUUGCUUGCCCUCUGCCCCGCCCCGUCGCCGCCGUCUCCUCCGUGGCGCAUCAAGCAUUCGAACCCACUCGUCAAAAGGAAUCCGUCCGCGAGAUCGAAAGCAACAGCUCCCGAUUAUUAAAGCCACGCUUUUUCAAAAGCCGCGGGGCGUUAAAACCCUGGGAAGUUUGGAGGAAAAGAAAUUCGUUUCCUCGCAUCCGGAACUGCAGUUGCGUGCUCGAGGAGGGGGUGCACAGCCUAGAAGCUCCCAGCGCCCGACGCCGCCGGCGCCUCGUUCUCUCCGUGGCGGAUCCUCCGCGGUCGUUACUCCACUGGGCUCUGGUGGACUUGAGCGAAGAUUCAACCGGGUGCGGAUCGGGUUGGUAGGUUAUUUUGCUGGUGAGUAGUCAUGGCUUGCUUCAAUUGGGUGGAUUCGCUUGUUCUAAAAGUUGGUGUUGUUCUGGGCGUCCUUUUUUUUUUCUUUCUAUGGCUGUGAGCAAUCAAAUCCAAUUUCCUUCCCUUUGUCUUAGUUCGCUUAGCUGGAUUUACGUGCCUUGCCCUGAUAAUCCAUCAGGUUGUUCGGCAUCAAAGAUGAAUCUAGCCAACGUGCCGGUGCUGUUUUUUCUCUUCCAAAAAAUAAGAAUAGAAACCGCAAUCGAGUCCAGCUUUUGCCUUGCUCUAACCAAUUUUAGUUGUUUUUGUACUCGAUAGCAGCUAUUUUAUAGUCUAAAGGUCGUGGCUUUAUCUUCUAAAAUUUAAUGUAGCCUUAGUGCUUCCAAUUGUAAAGUUCACUCCUGUCCCUAGGACGUCGAUUUAGUAAGUUUUUGUGAGAUAGGGAAUUGAAACGACCUCCUGAUCUAACUGUUCCGAUGUAUUUCUGGAAUGUGAACUAUUGAGAUAAGAAAAGCGAACUCGAAUUGCUUCAAGCUUGAAAUCUACAUCAACUUUACUGUGCCUUGUUAAAUGUAGCCACAGAUAACGUAGAAUUGAACACAUGACAAAUCUGUCAACACCUAAUACCUCUCUGAUAUGCUAUGCUUUGCAAGUUUUUGAAGUACUGAGGAUAAAUGUUUGUGUUCAAUUUGUGAUCAGAGUACCACACAUGACAAGGGUCAUCCAUGACUCUGGAGACGGCGUGCAGAAGGAGGCACUUGAUCUUGUCUCCUCUGAUGUCAACUUCCCCAAGGGCCAUUUCCCGGACUACAGGAUUGGACCAAACAACCAAAUCAUUGAUCCAGAGGAGGCACAUGAGGCUGUACCUCUCAAGGAGAUUGUUGCAAAGGAAACAGCGCAGCUGCUAGAGCAGCACAAGCGCCUUUCAGUGCGUGAUCUCAAAGAGAAGUUUGAGAAGGGUUUGUCUGGUGCUACCAAGCUGUCUGAAGAGGUAUUUUGCUCAGUUUGCUGCUACUUACUUAUGUUAAUGUAUCUUAUAGCGAAUCCUAACACAAAGAUGAAAGAUGUUGUUAUUAGCAACUAUAUUGUUCACCCUAGACACCAACUGUCAGAUGGAAAUUCUGCUCAAUAACCUCUCCUGCAAAUGAUGCAGGUGCAACUGGAUACGGAUAUAACAUUGAUAUCUAGUGAAAUAAAAACAUGAUAAAGAUUUGAAUUAUGUUCAAGUUAUCUGCCAAAAUAAUCAUAUUAAGAUGGUGCUCAUUCUCACAUUAAUUGUAUCUGUGGCUUGCUCCAGAGCUCAAAUUUGUUUGUCUCAUAUUAAUUGUAUCUGUGGCUUCCUCCAUACCUCAAAUUCAUUACUUCUUCUCAAUUUUUUCUUAUAAGUUUAGACGACCUUCUGAAGUACUUGCCAGUUUGCCUUUCUUUCCUGAAAAUGUUGAAGUUACUUGCCAGUUUGCCUUUCUUUCCUGAAAAUGUUGAAGUUUCUGCAAUGGCAUAUUGUUUAGAAGGAGAUGGAUAAACACAUGGGACAUUAAAUGCAAAACUCUAUGGGCUGCAGUGAUGUUCCACAUCUUACUUGAUAGUCAAUAAUCUAGAAGUUUGUUAUGAAUAUUCAGGUUCUAGUGCUAUGCUACUUCUGUUGAAAAAUGGAGUUCCAUUCUAAAAGUUACUGCCUCAUGCUUCAGGCUAAGCGGAGAGAAGCAGCUUCAUUAGACAGGCAGGUUCUUCUGAAGAAGCUCAGAGAUGUUUUAGACACACUGAAAGGCCGUGUGGCUGGUCGAAAUAGAGAUGAUGCUGAGGAAGCUAUAUCGCUGGUUAACCUCUUUCUCUUACAAAUUUGAAAUUUGUUGACUUGUCAAUAUCUGUCUCCUGUUAUAAGCUUCUUGUAGAUUCAUUUCUUGAUCAAAGUGGACCUUUUUUUUAUUUUUGUAAGUAUCCUUUUUCGUGAGGUUAGUGUUCCAGAUAAAGGCAAUGAUCUUAGAAGCUAUUCAAAUAAGUAGCCGCUCAUUUCAUUUCACCCACGCAAUUUAGUAAUAUUUCCAGGAAGAAUGAUGCUAGAUUUUACUUUCUGUUCUGACUUCUGACAUAUCUCUCUAUUUUUCUUUCUGAAUUGUAGAUGAGGAACAACUAUGGUUAUAUAUCUCUAUUUUUUCUUUCUGAAUAGUAGAUGAGGACUAUGUUCGCACUUCCCAUUCCUUUUUCAUUUCUAAUUUACUUUUGUUAUGCCUGCCCCCAGUGCCCUGCCCAUAUUGAGAUUGUAAACAUUUCCCCCCCUCUAUGCUGUCUUUAGUUGGAAAAAAAGUGAUUAUGAAGUUAUAUGCUUUCAGGUGGAGGCACUAGCUGUCCAGCUGACACAACGAGAAGGGGAGUUAAUUUAUGAGAAGGCUGAAGUAAAAAAGUUGGCUAACUUCCUUAAGCAGGUCUGUCACAUUUUGUAUUAGUAUCCAAGUAGUUUUUGCUGCCUUCUUAAAAUAUGGCAAAUCAACAUGAAAAUCAAAGGUGAGGCCUCAAAGAACAUUGCUUCCUUUUUGUCAGUAUGUUACGGUAUAGGUAUGGCAAAAUGGUUCAUAUGCAUGUUUCAAGUGGAAUGUUUUUUUUUUGUGGGAAAAAACAAAGUAUCAGUUUCUCAUUAUUUGAAAACUUCUUGUGAGCUCUUUUGAUUGUGUUAAUCACCACUAGCAACCUAGGGGCUUCCUUUUUUUGGAGACUUAGCAGACUAGCGUAGUUGAACAGUAAUAUUUACCAGACUUUCACAUUUAUUUUAGGCUACUGAAGAUGCGCGUAAAGUGGCUGAAGAGGAAAGGGCUCUUGCGCUUGCUGAAAUUGAAAAGGCUAGAUCUGCAAUAGAAAAGGUUGAGAAAGCAUUGCAGGUGCAUGAUUCUGCUUCAAGUAGCAGGGAGAAGGAGGUACUGCAUCAUCACAAUGAAUGUUCCUUUGACUUGUGACUAGUGUAUAGUUUGUUCUUUCUUCUUUGGUCGUUGCAAGUUGCCAUUAGCCCAUGUUUAUUUUGUAUAUUGAUCUGUGCACCCCCUAAUAAUCAGGAGAUAGAGGAACUUAGGAAAGAGGUCCGAGAGGCUAGGAGAAUAAAAAUGCUACACCAGCCAAGCAAGGUUUGUUCACAUCAUUGGUUAUCCUGCUUUUCUUUUGAUAUCUUGUAUCUAAGUCUCAAUCUAUCUGCUAUAUAUUCUCUGCAGUUUGUUUGAGGUAGCUAGUAAAAAAACAGACCAUCUUCUCAUAAUAUUUUUACACUAUGUACUUAUUACUAAUGGCCAUAAAAACAAUCACAGGUCAUGGACAUGGAGUUUGAACUUAAGGCACUGCGGACCCUCAUCUCAGAGAAAACUCAGCUUUGCAAUCAGCUAAAGAAAGAGGUAUUUCCUGUCAGAUAUAUAAUGCAGAGCUCAUAGGGUCUUCUAAUGUUUGUAAUGUUGAGCCAUCAUCCAUCACUUUCUAUUUUAUAGCUUGCCAUGAUCAAGAGGCUGGAGGAGGAUAGUUCUGACCUCUUUGAGCUUGAAGGUUCUGAUACCCUUGGAUCACAGCUUUGUAUUAUCCCUCGAGUUGAUGGUGCUCCAAACAUCGCAAAUUGUCCAAUUCAGUGGUACCGUGUAAUUUCUGGAGGCACCAGAGAGGUCAUAUCUGGUAUGUUAUCAAUAAAGUGCACACAAAUUAAUAGGACUAAGCCAUUCAUAGAAACAGUCUCAUUUGAUUAUAAUAUUUAUAAUUACUAUCAUUCUGUUGGUUUUUUCUUUGGCAUCUCAUGCAGUCCAUUGCUAAAAUUUGUAAAUUGAUCCCAUUCUACUUUGUUCAUAUAUAUAUAUGGUAAGAUUUUUUGAACUCUUCCUGCAGGAGCAACAAAAUUUACAUAUGCUCCGGAACCGUUUGACGUUGGUCAAUUAUUGCAAGCAGAGAUAGUUUUGAAUACAGAUAAAACUAUAGUUCAGACAGAUGGUCCUAUAGAGAAUGGUUAGUCCUCUCCCAAGGUCUUUUAACAGAUUUAAUUCAUUUCCCGAUCUAUUUUGUAAACAAAUUUCAAUGGCAAUCCUAAAUAUGUCUUCCAGAAAAUACUGAUAUUCAGUUAUCUCUGACACUCACUAUUUUAACUUUCCUUGUUUGUACAUUCCUACUAUUUUUGUGUCUUUAUCUCACUUCCUACUGUUAAAUUAGAGCUUGAUAUGACAGUUAUCAUAUAUCAGAUAAUACAAGCAUUGUAUGAUUUGUCUUGUCAUAUUUUAUAACAAGCUUCUGAAGUUCUCUUAGAUAGCUGACUACUUGUGCUUCGAACAGCUGCAGGACUUGAACGUUAUGUGGACUCACUAAUGAAAAGGACGGAUAUUGAGUUCAAUGUAUGAUUUCAUCUUGCCUAAAUGAUACAGUUUCUUUGAUACUUUUUGGAAAACCACCUUCUAUGAGUUACUGAAACCAAUGAGCACUAUGUUGAACUUAUUUAGGGCCUGCUCAGAUGUGGGGGGAUUUGAGCCUCCGAAGAUGAACUCAUCAAGUCCCCCCACAUGUGAUCAGGCCCUUCAUUUUUGAAUCAGUUGAAGUCACACUGAAUUUGACUGUAUUUUGGCAUGAGUAUUUGCGGGUAGAAAAGCAAUGUUUGAGCUUUUACUUUUUGAACUAAGAUUUGCACCUGCGCUGCAUUACAGGUGGUAGUCACCCAAAUGAACGGGAAGGAUUACUCGUCACAUUCUGUCCAUGUAUUUCACAUUGGAAAGCUGAGAAUAAAACUCCGAAAAGGAUGGUCUACAAAAGCAAGAGAGUCGUAUUCUACUACGAUGAAGGUAAAGUCUGAUCACAGUAUACGUGUAACCAAAGUGCUCUCUAGGGCUUAACUUAGAUGCGCUUGCUUGACAUAUUGCCUAUUCUGUGGUUGUAGCAGUAGACAUGUUUAAAAGAAUAUUGGUCUCAUGCACUCAUUAUUGUUGCAUGUGUUAUGUGCGCUUACUUCAUUGACUGUGUGAUUUGAGUGUCAAAUGCUGUUCAUUCUUUGACAGAACUUUUUAUGUUGUAGUCCAAGCCUUAAAAUUCAAGAUUAUUUUUUGAUUAAUUUUCUGAUAAUUUUUUUUCUUGUUCCGUUUACAGUUAUGUGGGAGCCGUGGUGGCGGUAAUGCUGCAGCUAGGGCGGUUUUUUGGCAAGCUAGGAAAGGCUUGUCCUAUACUCUAGCUUUUGAAACAGACAGGGACAGGAAUGCUGCAAUUAUUAUUGCUCGCAAAUUUGCUUCAAAUUGCAAUGUAUGUUUUUUUAUAAAAAAAUCAGGUUUUGUGUUACUGUGCGAAUGAUAUUCAGAAAACAACAUGGUUUACGCCUUUUGAUGGCUCUGCAGGUCGCUCUCACUGGCCCAGGCGAUCAAGGCACCUGAUGAAGUGAUCAUGCAUGUUUUUGACAGCGACACGGUACAUAAUUAGGGUGUGGAUUGGCUGAUUGGGUGCUUGUCUAAUGGUGCUUGUGAGAGUAGAGAGGAGGUACACUGCGUGAGGCUAUCCCCUUUUCAUAUGUUUUAUGGAGGCAUUGUUUUUGUUUGCCUGCCAGCAGCACUAGCCACGUUCUUGAAACAGGAUGUACAAAUCGAUUACUGUUCUUGUGCGUUACGUCUGUAAUACUGAACGGAAAAGGCUUGGUCGUUAGUCUCUCUGGGAGACUUCCCUUACUGAGUUGCCAAGAAGUAUGUACAGACAGCUGGUCUCCCUGAAGUCAUAUGAUUGAUGAUAUUCAGGUGGUAUUUAGCGGGAUUUGUGAUGUGUGGACACCUUGGUGUAGUGCAACCUGAUUCAGAGUUCUAUCUGUUGAUUAUCAGGUGAAGCAUGAUGUGGCAUGAGGAAAGUCUGAAAGCAUGAAUACGACUCUGAAAGUCUGAAUACUGCAUGAGGAAAGGGAGUAAUCAGUGCUAAUCACACACCUCAUCUAAACUGAAACGUGCCGAACGCUGGACGCCCUUGUGUGCAUAUUCUCCAAAAAAAAGUGCCGUGUAAAAUACUCUGACGAGCAUUACAAUAUACUAUUUCGUAUUCUGGGAAGAAUAGUCACAUGCAUGCGACGCAAUUGAAGACGUUAUCUUCGGUCCAAAGCUAAGCACGGAGCCUUUUUGUCAGCGAGUCCAUCUGCUGCUGGUACUGAGUACUGACCUGGACCGCAUCGUCACAUGAGUACAUGACUGGUGUCUCCCGGCCGUUAAUGCCCCCUACUUGUUCAUUGGACGGACGACCAGAUAAGAUUUGCUUUUCCAUGAUGAAGUAGCCGUACACGCUCGUGAAAUUCGUCCGAAACUCUGUAUCUGACACGCAGUUUUGAACGAGAUUUGACUUAGCGCUCACGGACACAAACCAAACGUAAACAACACAAAUUCAUAAACUUGAUAAACAAAGCUAGCAUCGCUGGGUGAUGCGAAAACUUGAUGAAAGCUCGUCACUAUCUGUCAGCGACCACGAGAAUCCCUGUCAUUUAUUGCUGCACUUGCCAUGUUUACGCGACUCUCUUUAUCAGGAAAGGAACUCGACGCGCCGUAAAGAAAGGACAGGCCCUUUUCCAGCUCGGGAGCGAAUCCCACUCGGCGUCGCAACGGCUAGUUCCCCCCGGGGCCGAUCCCAGCCGUCCGAUCCGCUCCUCCCGACCGUUGCGAUACGAACCCUUCCCGACCGUUGGAGCCGCUCCCCACCAGACCCGCUCCCCGCCGGCCGCCGCGCCGCCCCUGGCCUGACAGCGCCCGCACGCUCGAUAUAUCGGCUCCUCCCCUUCCCGAGCCUGUAGCCCCCUCCUCUUCCCCUCAAGAACUGCACCACCACGCGACGCCAUUGGUUGAGCAGGGAGAGGCAAGGGAGGAGAGAAGAGGAAGAAGGGGAUAAACAGGCGCGCGGUUAUUCUUGCCGGAUCCGCGGUGGCUGCGCUCGCCGGCGGGGAAGAGGGGACGCGGGCGGCGCGCCUCCAGUCUUUCUUCACCUCCGUGCUCUCCGGGCUCUUCGGACAGGGCGAGGACGAGGAAGAGAUGGCCACGCGCGACCGCAACGCCGCCGCCGCCGCCGCUCCGCAGCUUCACCAUCACAACCGAGGUGAGCCCAUGGAUCCUCUGAGUUCUUGGUUGCUCCCUCCCUGGUUUCUUGCUGAAGGUGAUUUUGGGUGAUCUCGGGAACGAUUAGCGUCUCUAGCAAGUUCUUUCACUUGAUUCAUGAAAAAGAUUGGAUCUUUGUUAUCCUCGUCCCCCUAAUCUAGAGUAUUAAUCUAUGUUCUUGUCUCUGUUCGACUGCCGGAUUGUAGAAGAAAGAAUUUCUCAUCUCGUGUCUCCUCUGCAAUCGUCAGGUGGUGUUCCCGCUCUGGGAAAGCAGAAGGCCGUCGCGGCCGGCCGAGCUGACGCCAUGAACCGUCGAGCCCCCCUGGGCGACAUCGGCAACUUCGUCAGCGUCCGCGCGACCGAAGGGUACGAACGAAACCAAGCGCUUUUUUGUUUCUCGCUGUUUCCUUGCCCGUUCUUCUUCUGAGGACGGACUCAUUCUUGGUUGCAGGAAGCCGCAGGAGCAGGUCAACCGCCCCGUCACGAGAAGCUUCGGUGCUCAACUUGUGAAGAACGCGCAGGCGAAUGCCGCCGCAGUCAAGGUACACAGACCAAUCACGCACCCUUCUCUUGCGGGUCUUCCUGCAAGAGUAAUCUGGCAUUUCAAGCAUUCGAUUCCGUCUGUUUCUAACCGGAACGUCUGUUUGCAGCAGAUCGCACCUGCAAGGCCUGCGCCGAGGCUGGAGAGGAAGGCUCCUUCCAAGCCGCCGCCUCCUGAGCAUGUCAUAGAGAUCAGCUCCGACUCUGACCAGAGCAACAGGCAGUCCGAGAGGAGCGCCAGCUCCGUCCGCUCGAGGAAGAAGGUCAUCAACACCCUUACUUCUGUUCUCUCGGCCCGCUCAAAGGUGCGUGAUCUAUCAAAUACCUCCUUGCUCUAGUAAUUCCAGUUCCACAAAAAGCAUGAGGAAUUAGUCUGAUUGUCGUCCAUCUGAAUGUCAGGCUGCCUGUGGAAUCACUGACAAGCCUCGAGAAGUGAUUGAAGACAUCGACAAGUUGGACGCCAACAAUGAGCUCGCGGUCGUGGACUAUAUUGAGGACAUCUACACCUUCUACAAGGCUGCACAGGUAACUGCCGAGAUAUCUGCUACGUAAUUACGUGAUCUGCUAGCGGCAGUCACUGACAGUAUUUCUUCCUGGUUUAUUGCAGCAUGAGAGCCGGCCGUGUGACUACAUUGAAGCCCAGGUGGAGAUCAACUCAAAGAUGAGGGCCAUCCUGGCCGAUUGGAUAAUUGAAGUACACCACAAGUUUGAACUGAUGCCCGAGACUCUCUACUUGGCUAUGUACAUCGUUGACCAAUACCUCUCGCUGCAACCAGUACUGCGAAGGGAGCUGCAGCUUGUGGGCGUUUCAGCCAUGCUGAUCGCCUGCAAAUACGAGGAGAUUUGGGCCCCCGAGGUACACAGAAAGCUUCCAUCUCGCUCUCCCUCCUAUCCUUCCUUUUCAAGUUCUUGUUCUAAUUGUUUGUGUGCUUCACAGGUCAAUGAUUUCAUCCUGAUAUCAGAUAGUGCAUACAGUAGGGAGCAGAUUCUUUCAAUGGAGAAGGGAAUACUAAAUAGGCUAGAGUGGAACUUAACUGUUCCUACAUCAUACAUGUUCCUCGUUCGCUUUAUCAAGGCGGCAUCUUCGGGUAUCAAAACUGACAAAGAGGUAAAGAUUCAAAUUGGUCUACUUGGUUUGUUGUAGUCAUCCAGAGGUGCAGCAAUAUUGUUCAUGUGUUGUGAUCUAAAAUCUGAUGUUUUAAUGCAGAUGGAGAACAUGGUCUUCUUCUUCGCGGAGUUAUCACUGAUGCAAUACGGCUUGGUGACGCACCUGCCUUCGAUGGUUGCUGCCUCUGCUGUUUAUGCGGCAAGGCUCACUCUCAAGAGGGCUCCACUUUGGUCUGACACGCUCAAGCAUCACACGGGCUUCAGAGAGUCAGAUCUAAUGUAAGACCCCAUUGCCAAUCGCCAUCUCUUCCUAAAUCAUGUAACAGCACAAGUUGGACUAGACAUAAUGACCUUUGCUGUGAUGGUUUCAGGGAAUGCACAAAAAUGCUCGUGAGCGCACAUUUGACCGCACCGGAGAGCAAGUUGAGGGUCGUCUACAAGAAGUAUUCCGGCGAGCAGUAUGGAGGGGUAGCACUACGUCCACCUGCAGAGGAGAUCUGCAAAUAAACGAAGAAUAACUUCGUCCUAGUAGUUGUGCUUGCUUUUGCUUUCGAGAGUGUAAUGGAAGGCGAGUCUGACAUUCGCUAGGUUUUAUGCUUGUUUGAAGAAAAUUUGAACACUUGAGACAGUCGUUUGUUUGCUCGGCUGCUCUCAGGGAGGAGUCAGGAAAUCUGACUUGUAUUGGCAAUUAGGAUUGGGAUGUUCUACUACUAUCUUAUGGAUACACCUUGGUGUAUAGUCUGUCAUAAUUUAUCAGUAACAAGUUAUUCAUUAAUAUGAAUGAUGAAUUGGAAGGUUUGCUGAUUGGAAAUUCGUUUCAAGCAUGAUCGGGUUGCAAUCAGAAUUUAUUUUUGCUUGUUGUAUAUACCCGUUGUCGUUUGUUGAUGUUUACCUGGAAGUGCAGAAUUUAUCAUGUAUGUUGUCUGGAAAAUCCAUCUGGAUUUUAUUUGACCGACUUGCUUGGACUACACAAAUCUUCAGGGGAAAAAAUGCGCAACGGCUCAUGAUCUAUUAUGAUCAACUUAUGAUGAUGAUGAUGAUUAUGUAUGAUCCUCAAAAGUACUCGCCUGUAUACAUUUCGAUCAUGGGUAACACAUUUUAAUGUCAGUACCAGCUGCACUUCCAUCCAAUGAUACAGCUUAAGAAAGAACUCACUGCUUGGCUAGAUAGCUUCGGUGCUUUGUAGCACUUGUAAAUAACUUUUAUUUCUCUUUUAGUAUAUAUAUCCAGUAAUUGAUAUUACCACACGAAGAUCCCCCUCACUUCAAUUCUCUGCGAGAAGCUCCUUUCAGCGAAUUUUGCUCUUCUCCUCACUUCCUUGCUGUCUGAUGCAUUCACUCAUCAGAUUCUUAACAGCCAGCGCAAUCUUCAUCUCCUCUGUUCAAAUGAGCCUGUGAGAUCGCAUCUUCUCCUUGAGACUGCACCCAAUCUUCCACACAUCAACGUUAAGGCAGCUAACGGUCAGUUGAUCCAGCGUUGAGAGAAGACCACGCGCUUUGUCCUUGAAAAAAUUGCUAAAGUCCAGAGGACCAAAACCUUAAGCUGUACUUUUGAGACUUGCAUCGUUUGUAACAUUAGAUCCUACAAGGCCUUAAAUCUUCAAUAAUGUUCUGUAUACCUGUAUUUCGGCAUUUGACACAAUAUAACAUCUAAAAGUAAGUACUGCUGCUUCUUUAAAAAAUGACAGAGUCUCAUAGUACAAUCCAAAUGAAACUCUCAGAAUGAUAUGUUGAACAAAUCAUAAGUAAAGGUGAUUAUGCGUGUCACCUUUCAGAAAGAGGGAUGAUUGUAGCAUCCGUAUUUGAAACAUUGAUGAUUACAACACCAUUACAGUAUGACAAGAUUGGUUUCAGCACAUACCAUACUGAUUCCAAUUAUGCUGAAGCGCAUGCCAUCUCCAUCAAUGCACUCAGAUUGCGGUAUGAAGAUCCACCCUUGUCAACUGCUCUGCGAGAAGCCUCUUUCCACUCAAGAGCACGUCUCCUCACUGCCUUUGUCUCAGGUUCAUCAGAAGACAUCAGCCUCUUUGCAGCCCGUGCAAUAUCUUCUCUCCCAAUCAGACCAUCCUUGCUAGCACAAUCCCACAAGUUCAGGCCAAUCUUCCACUCUUCCACAAUUAAUCGGCCAUCAAGCGGUUGAUCAAAGAAUAGUGGUAAGGCAAGCAUAGGUACACCAGCAAAGAUGGCUUCAAGUGUCGAGUUCAUCCCGCAAUGGGUUAAGAAGCCCCCAACAGAGGAAUGGCACAAAACCUUCAGCUGCUCACACCAUGGCAGUAUCAUCCCCUUAUCAGUGUCACCAAUGAGUUCUCGCACCCGAGGGGAUUGUUCACGAAUAAUCCACAAGAACCUGACCUCACUUGCUGCUAGCCCCAACGCAAUCUCGUCAAGCUGAGAGGCUGACACUGAGACAAAGCUGCCAAGGGACACAUAUAACACUGAGUUCACAGGUUGAGAAUCCAACCAUUCGAAGUAGUCUACUUGGCUGGUAUCCCCAUUGGUCAUGGUCCAGUGGUCUUCAAGUGUUAUGUAGGGAACACAGGGGCCGAUUGGAUACACUGGGCAAGAGAGUACUGACUGUAGUGAGUCGAUGACACUGGCCUCAAGCUCAUACAUGGUGGUGAAAAGGAGGCACUGAGCAUUUCUAACGCUUGAGAUGGCUGGUAGGAUAUGCUUUACUGCUCUCUUGUUGUGAAUUAAGGGCUCGAGAUCAGACAACCUUAUCGUAUUUGAAGCCUGACUGGAGAUGUAGUGCCCAAGUCUCUGAUCAGAUUUAUCUGCAGGGCAUAAAAUAGAUGCGUGAGAAAUGUUACAGCCUGCCUUAUCAGUGUUUGACAUAGAAUCACCAGAAAUGAGAAGUAAGAGAUACAAUGACGAAAAAUACAUUUCCAAAGCAGUGGUGUGGUGGAGGAAUCUAAAAUAUACAAAUUAGCAUGAUGUGAAACAGGUUAUUUCUACCAAGACAAACUGAGAAGCAACAAUUUUGCAAGCUUGAUUCAUGCCCAUACUCCGCUUGAUGUACUACUCUUUUUCUGAAGUAGGGGUUCACUCACCACGCCGCACCACACCAGGGCAUCAAAACCGGUUGGGUGGCCAUCCAGCCUAACUUCCCACCAAAGAACAAAUCCUAGUGGCUAGCCGUUUAAUGUAUGUCUAAAAUAUUUCUUAUCUUUUGGAUCAGAUACUUAGCUGGAUGUGCACGGUGAGUAAUAAGUAUGAGUAGCAGGGUUGGUGAUUUGUUAAAUUUCCGGAGUACUAAAUAAAAAUUGUCAGCCAGGGUGACGGCUGAAGAUUGCAUUUCCUCAAGAACGUGAGCAUAUUUUAAGAAUGAAAUCACGUGAGGUUAUCGCAGACUCCUUAACAAGUGAAGAAAGCUAAAAUAUAAGUAUGUGCAGAGUUCCAUGUGAUCCCAUGCCUCGUUACCAUUAAAUUGUUUGCACCUCUCCAGAAGCACUUUAGUCACUUUGGAUUGUGCCCAUGAACAAUGAUAUUUGAAUCAGUUGGGAGAAAUAGUUCUGUAUAGACUGCUUAACAGCCUGGCGACCAGCAUAUGCUUAUUUUGAAGCAGUAUUAAGUAAUGCACAAACACGAAAUGCUUUCUUCAGAGCGAGAGCAUAAACUUGUAAUAAGAAAACAGAUCCUAGCUCCAGAUUUCGGCAAUUCACUUCCUAGGAGCAUAGUUCAGGAUACAGAUGCAGAAGUCCAAAGGCCGAGUUAUGUGUGGACGAUUCAUUAAUCAGGAGAUUCACGACAAGCUAAAACCCUGCCAGCAGCAAGCAAUGGCAGCAAGGACUCUCACCUACAGUCUCACCGGAGCCCGGCGCGUGCUCGCCGUCGCCGGUAAGCCAGGCCGGGAGGCGGUCGAAGUGGUAGUAGGUGGAGAAGAAGGUGGCGGCCAUGGGGAAGAGCUGCCAGACGGGGACGCCCCUCCGGUUGCCGACGCCGACGACCCAGGGGACGUAGGCGUCCGCCACGAGCGCGGCGGGCGGCGCGCCCUCGAGCCCGUCGAGCAGGCGCUCGAAGGGCGCCUCCAUCUCGGUGGCGACGGCGUCGAGGAAGCCCGAGUGGUCGGCGGCGCGGCCGUGCUCGGAGGCGAUGACGUUGGGGAUGGCGCGCAGGCGGACGCCGUCGGCCGGGGUGGACGACGAGGAGCGGAGGAGGCCGAGCCACUCCUCGGUGACGACGAAGGAGACCGCGGCGCCGCGCGCGGCGAGGAGGCGGCUGAGGUUCAUCAUUGCGUUGACGUGGCCGCGGCCCGGGAAGGGGACCGCCACAAUGUGGCAGCAGCAGCCGCGCGGCUCGUCCCCAGCGGCGGCGGCCAUCCGCUUCCGCUCGUGGCUGGCGUCUCGGUGUGUGGCUCUGCUUAUUAGCGUAGAGCCUCCCCUGAUCUCUAGGGAAUGAUCGACGCCGCGCCGCUGCUGGCCACCCUGCACCUCGAAUCCGUCUCUCUCCCCACCGAUGAAGAACUAAUGACACUUGAUGUCGUACAAUGCUACCGGCUUCGCUGCCCGGCGGUCACGGCUCUCGUGCUGGAAAAUUGCCCAUGUCCAUUGUCCGUGCAGGAUGGCAUCGAGUGAGAAAAUGAUUGAUUCAGAUUCUAAAUUCUGAAUAGUAGGCAUGAAAUGGUACUCAACAUUUUUGCAAUUGGUAUUUUCAUCAGCAAGCGAGAAAAUGAUAUAUCUACGCCAUGCCAUUUUCUGCCAGAAACAACCCAUGACAUUUUCAAAACCUCUCUGUUGUUUUGUUGAAUCCAAAAUCUAUCUUCUUUGUUGAAGAUAUUAUUGUAAGGAUAUUCGACCGUGUCCAUUCUGGAGAGCUCCCCUGCAGAUAAAAUCAUCCACAGUUAUUGACACAAUGUGCUCUUUGGGCGAGACUACGCAUGGCCGUGAGGCAAUGGCUGAAUAUAGUUGCCAUGCCAAUCAUGAAUUAAUAUGUAUCGAUAGAAGCACUCUGUUUUUAAAUAUAUGACGUUCAGGGCAAGUUAAUUAGUUCAAAAGUAUGUGGUAAAUAUGAUAUUCCGAGAAAGCUUAAAAGUGACAAAAGUGGUACUAACCGUGCAUAAAGUUACAAAGCUCUAGAAAGCAAACUUCCCUCUGCACAAGGAUGCAGGUUGCUGACGGUAUGCAAAGCACGAACCAUGAUGGUGAUCAGGAUCAUUCCUAGGCCCUGCUGUGUCAAGGAUCUGAGAGUAAAUCUCACAUCAAGACAUGGAAGAGCACUUAUUAAACAUAAUAAAUGCAGUCCAUGGUCUGCUCUGUGCUUCAAUCAUUACCUGUGGUCCUUGUGUACGCUAAAUUAACAGAAGGGUAACACAUGAAACGAGCAAACAUGUCUCAAGAAGUUUAGGAUUUCUCACCAUCCAGGUGAAACCUUCUGAAUCUGCAAAUGCUUCAUCAUUCUGCAGCACAAUAAAUUCUAAUAUACAACGAACAAGCUUUGGAAUUACAGAAUGCUUUGGACUCCAUCUCUGUGUUUGUAGGAUCAUCUGAUUGUAGAAUCCUGAUGUAAGCCCUUGAUCAUGGCUUGCAGUUCUACACCACUAACAGAUAAAGGCAACCAGAUGAAAGAGUAUUGUCUUGCUACAAAACAGCAAAACAAGCAAGCACAGAUUGAUAAAUGUGUGCACCAACUUCAUGAACUUAUCAGUCCAGUAUUAUUGGAUAUUGGAAUAUUUUACUAUGAUAACUGCCAAAGCAUUAGGCUCAUGCACACUAUACGUUUCACAAGUUUGCUCAAGGCUAAAGAACUCAGCUUCUAUUCAGUCUGAACUAGUAUUAUUGACAGUUUCCUUCAAUCUAAUGGCAUUUUGAAUAGCUUAAGAUAAAGAUUCUUGAUAAAUUAGCAAGAGAAGCAUACUGCUUCAGAGUCCCAAGAAUAACUCUGCGGACAAGUAUUAUGAACCAUAACAGUUAUUUGCACUCAAUCAAAUGCAGGACUAACAAGUGUCAGCACCUGAUCCACAUGAUCUAUGAGGACUUCAAAAUACAAGCUCAGGAAAAUACGUCCAUAGUAGCAGUCAUAAUCACCCCAUAAAAGGAAGCUGGCAAAUUAUUCCUAGCAUAACUCCCCUGCAAAUUUAAACCUGGAAUUUAAGUACAAGUACCUAAAACCCACCAAUACCAGGACAUCUCCGGUGCAUUCUUUCUGGGCACAAAGGGUACUUUAGCACCCUGAAGCACCCAAUCUAAUUUCACCAGCAAAAUCAAGACCCUCUUGAGAUAGGUUUACGAAAAUUGGUCUAAAAAAAGAUAGUUUCUGAAUUCCAUAUGGAAGCUUCUCAUGAAAUCAAAAUAGACCUGCAGAUAAAUAAGCUCAGUAUACUAGAUCUUGUUUCAAUCAGAGUAUGGCACAAACAAGACAUAUGGACAGAAGAUAUAGUGAAAGUCUUAAUGUUUUUAAUGCAAUGAACAUAACUUGCAAUCUGUGAUACAUGUAAUUACCGCAAUGCACAAGUAUAAACAGACAUUUAAUGCAUUAAAAAUUAUUGCCAUGAACAAAACCAAAGUAAUGCAAGGAAAAAGGUUGAUCCAAUUUCCUGUUAUAAAUACAAACACUAAUGACUAUGAAGAGAAACAAAAAGGUAUCAAAGGUGAUCCAAUACCUUCAAUGCCAAUUCUCCCAUGAAAGACUCUUCUGGUCAAUUUCCCAGGAAAGGCAUUCUGUACUUCACCUACCUUACUGAUGGUGGAUAAUGGAUAUACUGAUUUUCCUAGGAGCAGAUGCAGCAACUUAGGUCUAGUCUUCAGGUUAAGCGGAUGUCUGGCCACCUCGUGUAGGUAUCAUGUUAGCAGCAGCUGAUUCAGAUGCAUUGCUAGGACCCCUCAGAUUUUUUCCCCUCUUUGCAGCAAUGGUGAAGCUAGAUUGUUAGCAGAUUCUGUUGUACUCAAAUCAGGCUGCCUGAGUGGCGCUGACACAUCCCUGACAUAGAAAAGUUGAUACAAAAACAGCCCCAAAAUACUCUCUACUGUCAAGGGAACAUGAGAUCUAUCAAAACAAAAUAUUUUCACUUUUCAGCCUCACAUAACUUGCAUUUCUCAUAUAUUUCCAUUAUGACGAGAGCUUCAUCUGAUCUUUCAUCAGUUGGGAUUCACUUAACUCUGAAUCAAGCUUUGAUUGGCUUGAAUUCUUUAGUUACACUUCAAAUGUCCAUGUAGCCAGACAACUCAUGCUUGCGAAGAGUCCAAGCUUCCACAAUUUCCCGCCAACAGCCAACAACAAACCCGUCCACAUUCAAAGACUUCAAAUGCCUUAGUUCAGUGUGUACUGGGUCAACCAACAGACAACGACUAUAGAUUUGAUAAUGCCCAUAUGCAGCAGACAGUAACAUUGCUCAAUAAGAUUAAACAUUUGCCUUGUUUAAAGCUCCUCUUCAUUUGCAAUGUCGAAGUCAAAACACGACUUCCAGCUUCAAACUGCAGAGCUUCACUUCCUUUUGAGUGGGUUAUGGAACAAGAUAUAGCUCUGCAUCGACAUCAGUGUCUACGGCCAAGGUCCUGCUCGUGGCUCCACGCCUCCACCCCCACUGCUCAUUGUUUUCAAUUGGCUGGGUGGUGGCCAAGAACGCUUCAGCUGCACAUAACCUCCACCUGUCCACCACAACUGAAAGAUGGCCACAGCGCUGGGCAUGCUUCGGCCGUGCGCCCGUGCUUACGCCUCAAGGAGCAUGGCCGUGGUUAAGAACGACGAAGAGGCCAUGAUGAAUGCAUUCUCCAGCGUCGACAUGUGGAUGCCGCGGCCUGGACAUUCCCUCGAACUCCUUGUGGGCGGGCGCCAUCAAACACAUAGCGGGACGACGGAGGGCCCAAAACUGAGCAAACCAGAAGCAGGCGAAAGCGGCGAGAAAACCGGUGAGCUUCCUCCCGCAGCGGCCGAACUGGCUUGCGGCGGCGGCGGCGGCGGCGGCGGCGGGCUGGUCCGAGGGACUGGGAGAGCGUCAGAGCGAUGAGUUGGCGGUUGGGCUCUUGCCGGGCCCGGGCAGGAUGAUCAUGGGCGAGCUCGCCACGUGGACGUCCCAUGAUCGCCACGGCGCCGUCCGCUACAGGACAAGCGAGUGCUGGCUCGCGCCAUCGCGCGGCACCAGGAGCGCGUGCGAGCCGUUCGCUCUCCAUCCGACGGCCCCCCGCGUUUCCUUGGCGGACGGGAAAGAAGAUUACCUCGCGAUGCAUCGCACUGGCAGGCAGCCAGGCAGGCAGUCCCAUCCGUGCACCGAACCGCCCCGGCGUGUGAAUAAAACACGCCGCUGCUCCGCCUCCGCUGCAGAUCACACACAGCAAACCACAUUUCCACCACCCCCACCUGCUCCGGGGCUCUCGCCUCCCUGCCCCACGCCUCUCUCGCAGGCAGCAGCCGCGCAGGUUAGUGCUGCUCCAUUGUCCUCCCCUUCUUCGUGCUAACCCUUGCUUAGAUCUAGAGAUAUGGAGUGUGUUUUGCUCCGUGUGCAGCGAGUGUUUUGUUGGUUCGUUUCGAUCCGUGGGUGGUUGAACUUUUCAUCUCCGUGGAGCGCUGCGCUCGUACGUUCUCGCUCCCUGGCGAGUUGCGCUUUUGAUCCUCUGCGUUGCUGUGUUCUACUUGUGUUUUUGGAUCCGCGUGCAUGCAGCCGUGCGUUUUGGGGUGCUUCGGUGCGAGGAUCUUUCUGCGUUCUGUUCCUCGCGUUGUUGUUUGGAAAUGCGAAGCUAAUCAAGAGAUGAUCGUCCCUCGUGUUUUCCCUGUGGAUGGAGUUGUUCCUUUUGGGGUGUCGUGCAGUACCAAAUCGUGCUCCUAUGUUUUUGUGUCAUGCGGCUGCGCUGUUCUUCGGCCAAUCAUUGUUGUUUUGCUCUCCAUCAGAAGCACUUGAUGGGGUUUUUUCCCCUGAAAAAUAACGAGAACUUGCCGGUCCUCUUGCUCUUUGCUUGUUGGAUUUGAUUAGAAUAAGCGGAACUCUUCUUGUUGCGAAUCAGGGGAAAAGUGUGCCACGCACUCGUGUUCCGGAUUGCUUUCUUCUUCGAAUGGCUUGUGUACUCAAAUUUCUUAUAGAUCCCUGCUGUGUUUCGAUCCUCGUGUAGUGGGGCACGGUAAUUCGUCUAGUGAUGAAGCGCUAUUACUGGUACAACUGCAUGCUAUGUUGUGAGAAUCGAUUCUAUUGUUCUGCUUCCGAUCUGCUAUUCCCUAUUCUCUCUAUACCUUUUGCUUGUGAUGCGUUCCUUCAGUAAUGUGUUUUCAGUAAUUUGGAUGAAUGCGUUCAGUGAUUUCGUCCAGACAGCCGCUGGCUACUCUAGUUUCUGAAUGCGAAUAUGCGAUUCCCUCGCUGCUGACCUGAAUGCAACUUGCUCUCUACAGGUACCUUGCUGCUGCGCAUAGAUGGUAAACCUCACAGCAAGAGAUGUCGAGGCCACCAUGCGCAACCAGCACAGGGUGCGCAACGUCUCGAUCGUCGCUCACGUGGACCAUGGUAUGACAAAUUUCCGUUCAAAUACUAAACCCUGUUGGGAUCGAGAAGGAGCGUCAUACACCUGUCCGUAUGGUUGCAGGCAAGUCCACGCUGACGGACUCCAUGCUCGCCGCGGCGGGCCUCAUGGCGCUGGAGGACGCUGGCAAGGUGCGGGCCACGGACACGCGCGACGAUGAGGCCGAGCGUGGCAUGUCCAUCAAGGCCACGGCCGUGACCCUCGGCUACGACUUCAGAGCCAUGCGCACGGGCACCGCCACCAGCGACCGCUACGUCGUGAACCUCGUCGACUGCCCCGGCCACGUCGACUUCUCGCCGGAGGUGACGGCUGCUUUGCGCCUCACCGACGGCGCCCUCGUCGUCGUGGACUGCGUGGAGGGCGUCCGCGUGCAGACGCAGACCGUGCUGCGCCAGGCGCUGGGUGAGAGAAUCAAACCCGUCCUCGUCGUGAACAAGCUCGACCGCUUCUUCCUCGAGCUCGAGGUCCAUGUCCUUUCCAAUUCGCCCUGCUCUGUUCUUUCCAAUUCGCCCUGCUCUGUUCCUUCUAACUGGUUGCGCCAAACGGGGAUACUGCUCACAAUCACGUAUACAUGCGUUGCACUGCAGCUCGACGACGGCGAGGUGGCGUACCAAGCGUUGCGCCGCGUUGUCGAGGACGCCAACGCCGUCGUCGCCAUGUACUCCGACAACGAGCUGGGGAACUGCCACAUGUCCCCGGAGAAUGGAACGGUGGCGUUUGCCGCGGGCUUACACGGGUGGGCCUUCACGCUCUCCAGCUUCGCGAAGUUGCACUCCACUAACUCCAGCUGGUCCGGCGUGGACGAGGCAGAGAUGAGGGGCCGGUUUUGGGGAGAGAACUUCUUCGACGCUGAAACCAACUUGUGGACAACCUGCCGCACGGGCUCUGCGACGUGCGAGCGCGGCUUCGUCGGCUUCUGCUACAACCCUCUUCGGAACGUGAUCAAAGCCUGCAUGAACGACAAGACCAGCCUCUGGCCCCUGCUGAACAAGUUUGGAGUUGAGAUCAAGGCGGAGGUCAAGGACUUGUCCGGGAAGCAGCUGUUGAGGCGGGUUAUGCAGGCGUGGCUGCCCGCCGGCGAGGUGUUGCUGGACAUGCUUGUCCUCCACCUGCCGUCUCCGGCCACAGCGCAGCGUUACAGAGUCGACAACAUCUACGACGGGCCCCUCGACGACCCCUACGCAAAUGCUAUCCGGAACUGCGACGCUGAUGGGCCACUUAUGAUCUACAUUGCCAAAGUGGUUCCGGCCGGCGAUCGGAUGGGCAGGAUGUACGCCUUCGGCCGCGUCUUCUCCGGCAAGGUCGCUUCGGGCAACAAAGUCCGCGUGAUAAGCAACAAGUACCUGCCCGGAGGCGGAGGGAAGGGGGACGUCUUCGUCAAGACCGUCCAGCGCACCGGCAUGUUGGUGGGGAAGACCUUUCAGGCAGUCGACGGCGUCCCGUGCGGCAACACGGUUGCUUUGGCCGGACUUGACGGCGUCAUCGUCAAGACGGCCACGCUCACCGAUGAGAGGGCGGCGGUGGCAGCGGGCACCAUCAAACCACUCAAGUUUUCAGUCGCGCCAAUCCUGCGCAAGUCUGUUGCCUGCCGGAAUCCGGCCGACCUGCCGAAGCUGCUGAAGGGCCUGGAACGCCUAGCGAAGGCUGAUCCACUGAUAGAGUGCUCCCUGGAGGAGACCGGCGAGCACAUCGUCGCUGGUGCUGGCGAGCUUCACUUGGAGGUCUGCCUCGAUGGCCUCAAAAGGAUGGCAGGCGUCGACAUCCUCUUCGGCGCACCGGUGGUGCCAUACCGUGAGACUGUUGUUGCGAGCUCAAGCCGGGCAGUAGUGACCAAGUCUCCCAACAGGCACAACCGUCUGUACAUGGAUGCGCGCCCACUGGAGGAGGAGCUCCUGCAGGCCAUUGAGGACGGGCGCGUCGGCCCCCGCGAUGAGGUCACAUCCCGCGCCAAGCUUCUGCGUGAGGAAUUUGGGUGGGAUGCUGGAGAUGCGAAGAAGCUCUGGUGCUUCGGCCCUGCGACGACCGGCCCCAACCUCCUUGUCAAUACCUGCAAGGGAGUUUACUACACCGGCGAGAUCCGGGAGUCCGUCGUGGUGGCGUUCCAAGCGGCGUCCAAGGGAGGCGUUCUGGCGGGGGAGCCCCUGCGCGGCAUCCGGUUCCAUCUCUGUGACGCGGUCCUGCACUCGGACUGCGUCCACCGUGGGUCCGGGCAGAUUAUACCCACGGCACGCCGCGCCAUCCACGCCGCGCAGCUGGCGGCGAGCCCGCGCCUGAUGGAACCAAUAUACCUCGUCGAGAUUCGCGUGCCAAAAAGCGCGGUGUCCGAAGUCUACAAUCUGCUGAAGACGAAGGUUUUUGAGCAUCAGGACUUGGGCUUCGGCACGGUGGUGCUAAAGGCAUUUCUUCCUGUAUCCGAGUCAUCCCAGUUCGUGCAGCAGCUGCGCUUGAAGACGUCAGGGAAGGCCUUCCCCGAGCUGGCGUUCCACGGAUGGAGACUGAUCAACUCCGAUCCGCUGGAGGAUGGCUCGAAGGCGGCGAUGGUCGUGGGCAAAGCUCGGGAAAGAAAGGGUCUCGGACCAGUGCCAAACUUGGAGGAGCUUGACGCCACGUUUUGAGGUUCGUGUUCGCCGAAUCACUGCUGAAUAGUUUCCUCCUGUCGCUGGCAUGCUUACCUGUAAUCUGCCCCCAGGGCGUUUUCUCUUUCUGUUGUGGAAGUUCCAGCUCUCCCUGGCCUGCUGAUGGUGCGGCCCUCUGUUGCUGCGUUUGCUAGUCUGCUCGUUUGUAGGUUUAGUUUCUGUUGAGAUCUGUUGGUGCCCAUACUUUUACCAGAACUCUUGUUAAUGUCGUUACUGUCGGUAAUGAAAUCUGGGCGUUUGGAAAGAAAAAUGUUCGCUGCUGAACUCAUCUGCUGUUCUAGUUCUGCUCGGCUCUGCCUCUGCGCGAGUUGAAUUCUCAGUCCUCCGCACCGCAAUGUUGGGAGCAUAACGCUUUGUGUGUGUUGAUGAACUGUUGGUGAGUUUCUGGGCUAUGAAUGAGACUGAUCCAGAUGAUGUCAGCUUUUACUUGGAAAAUGCAUGCAGAGAUGUGUGGCCUUGCAAUUCGAGUUGCCGCAGUUUUUAAUUGUGUCUCCAACAUGACUGCAAGAGCCUACCGCCCCAGUUUCGUCCGGAUUGGACGGUCCGGCCAGGAGUGAGUAGUCUCGGCAAGCUGGGAUUUUCCACGCCCGUUCACCUUUGUUUUGUUCUGUAUCUUGUGUUGCGUUGCACUGUGAGCACACGAACUCUAAAAAAGAAAAAAAAAACUCAGGCAGCAGACGCCCCCGGCAACGGUGCCAAGUUGAUGAUGUCGACGUGCAGACGGCGCUUCCUCGAUCGCGGACGCGCGCGCCGCGAGCAAGCUGGCUCGGAGGUUUGCUAAUGCGCGCGCGCUCCCCAGGAGAGCUUACAACAAUCGAUCUCCGAUAAAACUAACUUUCCUAUUCUGAAAAGGAGAGGAGAUCGACUCCGAGAAGAAGAGGAGAUCGCUGCGCGUGCGCGUGAUUAUAAGGCUAGAUACGAGUCGUCGAUCCCGACAGAUCUCUCGCCUACUACGUUCGGUUCGCCACGCUUCGCGCCGGCCGCCGCCACCGACAACGAUGGCUGCCAGCCGCUGCCUGUCCGACCUCCCGGACGACCUGCUGCGGCACAUCCUCUCCUUCGCACCCGCCAAGGAGGCCGCCGCGACCGCCGUGAUCUCGCGGCGCUGGCGCUCGCUGUGGCGCACGUGCGGCGCCGUCAACCUCGACUCCCGCUCCUACGGCCGCCGCCUCAACAACGGCGAGACGUGCGACGGCUUCUUCCGCGACGCCGAGGCAGCCCUCGCCGCCGCCCGCGCCCCCAUCAGGAAGCUCACGCUCUACGUCGAGCUGGAAGAACACGAGGACUUCCCCGAGCCGGAGACGCUCCCGUCUCGCUCCGGCGCCGCGAAGCAGGGGCUGCACGGCAUGAUCGGCGCCCUGCUCUCCAAGCCGGCGGCCCGGCGCGUCGAGGAGCUCCGCAUCGGGGCUCAGCUGUUCGUCGGGGCGUCCAUGGGUGCGUUACCGGGAUGUGGGUUCCACGAGCUCAGGUUUGGCGCCCACCACCCAUCGGAGGCUCUGCGAGUGCUACACGUCACGAACUGCAUCAGAUUCACGCCUGCUCCGCCCGGCACGCCCUUCCCGCGGCUGGCAGAGAUAAGACUGCGGGACUGUUGGGUUUCCCGUAAGGAACUCCAGGGCCUGAUCGACGCCGCGCCGCUGCUUGCCACCUUGCAUCUCGAAUCCGUCUCUCUCUCCACCGAUGAAGAAAAAAGAACGCCGUUUAAGGUCGUACAAUGCUACCGGCUUCGCUGCCCGGCGGUCACCGCCCUCGUGCUGGAAACUUGCUCAUGCCCAUUGUCCGUGCAGGAUGGCAUCGAGCUUGACGUGCCGAGACUAAGGUACUUGAGGUUCAAGGGUUUUGUUGCUCUUGAGAGACUAUCGCUGAAAUCACAUGCUCCGUUCUUGGAUCGAGUAGAUUUGCACUUCCUCGACGAGUUUUACGCACUUGGAGAUGAAGACAGCCAAGUCCGCACGCCCUGCUGGCAGUUUCUGCGACAUUUCAACAACGCAAAGGUGUUGAAGCUGAAGCUGGGCUACCCGAUUGACCACAUCGCCAUUGCCGAGGAGGAGUUGGGUGACAUUCUAGGUGGCAAGUUGUUCAGCAAACUGGAGCGCCUCGAGCUAGAAGGAACCUACGUUUCCGGAAGCGAGGCCCCAGGCUUUGCAAUUGCAAGUUUGCUCCAUUGUUGCCCUGUGGUUCGUGACCUCCGGCUCAAGUUGAGCAAGAUGCGGCCAAUGCUAGGAGUACCAGAUUUGCAUCUUUAUUUUGCAAAAGUGAGGGCUCAGUCUGACUUUGACGAGUCAGUUGAUCACUUCAGGCACCGUAGGAUCUUGUUGGACGAAGAUGGAGAUGACAACUAUGAGGAGGUUUCUGACAUCAGUGGCUUGAGAGAGCAUUCAUUCAACUGCAUGCGCAAACACCUAAGAAGAGUGAGCUUGGAAUUUCGGAUGGAAAAGCCGAAUUGCUUCGUUGCCCAACUUGCAAAGUUCUUCGCCGAGAACGCAGCGGUCCUAGAAGAAAUGUAUAUCGACGAUGGAAAUCACAGAAUACGUGAGCACUUGAGCAGCAAGGUUGGAAGAUGGACAAGGAAUUUGUCAGAAAGGAGAAACCCGCCCGUGAUUGCGCAACCGGAGUGCGGUGACCGCCUGAGCAAGCUCAGCGACGGCGUCCUCGGUCACAUCUUGUCUUUUCUCCCGGCCUUCAAGGCGGCACAGGCGAGCAUGCUCUCACGUCGGUGGCGUCACAUCUUUGGAGCCGUCCACACAAUCUCUCUGGACCAGUGGAAGCGCCCAAUUCCAAGCAUCGUCGAAUCAUCGUGGCCGUGGCCGAUGCUUUUCAAGCGCGCACCCUUCGGAGACUUCAUCAGCGCCGCGCUCCAAGGCCGCCACCGCGCCGGCGCCGGCGCCCCACUGCGCAAGCUCCGCGUCGCCUACCGCGGUUUCUGCGAGUUGAACUUGAACCCCGACAUGGUGGACCAGUGGCUCUCCUGCGCCAUGCAGCUGGCCGGCGGCGAGUUCCACCUCGACCUAGGCCUCGGCGGCAGCCUGGUCUGCUCCCUCGCCCGUCGUAUCUCCAACCCAGAGAACAAGGACAAGCCGUACGCAGGGCCUCACCCGACGUGCGGUGGAGAGCGUGAUGACGACGAGGAGGAAGAUGAAGAAUACCCCGCAUUGCUGCUGACAGACGACGAUGCCGCUCCUCGCGCAAUCCCUGUGCCGAGAAGGCUCUUCUCCUUCCUCAUGCUACGGUCACUUCGCCUCGGCCUCUGUCAGCUCGACCUGCCGGCCGCCAUCGAUCUGCCGUCCCUCGACACGCUGCUCUUGACCCGGGUCGUUGGCCCGGGGGCCGGCGCACAGAUACAGCGGCUGGUCACCGCCUGCCCGCGCCUCGCCGACCUGACGCUCGAGGCCUGCGCAAAGCUCACCACGCUCUCCGUCCUCGACAAGCGCCUCCGCAGGCUGGCCCUCUUGUGCUGCCACAAGCUGGCGGCCGUCUCCGCGGACGCGUCGGAACUCCGGGUUUUCGAGUACAGGGGCGUCGUGCCCGCGCCCUCGUUCCUGACCAUGCACGGUACGCCACGGAUCUCGUCGUGCGCUCUCGACUUCUGCGGUGGGGAGCCCACGGAUCCGUCGGAGCUCAGGGGCUUCCUCCAACUCUUCGCCUGCGCGAAGCACCUGCAGUUUAACUCCGCCCAACUCGGCGCCGGCGUCGGCAACGGCGUCUUCCCCUCCUCGCCGGCGUUCCCCACGGUCGCCAGCCUCCAACGCCUCGAGCUGAUGGGGCUCUGCCCGCGCGACGACGCCACCGGUGUCGCGGCGCUGACCAGGGUCCUGGGGCAGACCCCGAUCCUGGAGACGCUCUCGCUCUUCUUCCUGCCGGAGCCACUGACAGAAGCGGACAACAGCCACGCCAAUCCCUACGACGGGGAGGCCAGCCUCGGCACGCACCGGCUCAGGUACGGCCGGCACGCUGCCCUUGCCGCGCCGGACGGCGCCGAGAUCCCCUGCAUGAAGCAGCGGGUCAGGGAGAUCAACUUGGUGCACUACCAAGGGGGCGUGUCGCAGAGGACGCUCGCCAAGUUCUUGCUUCGGAACGCGCCAGCCAUCGAGGAGCUGUGCUGCACGUUUGCGCCUGGGCCGCUGUGGAUGCAGACCAAAUUCAUGGAGGAGAUGAGAGGCUGGGUGAUGAACACUUCCACAAAGUUGACGUUCCUCUAGUACAAAUUAAAUGGUUGCUUUGGUAUGCAGAGUCAGUUGACGACUUGAUGUGGUGUGUUUGCUAAGCUUUUGCUCCUAGGAUUUAAUUAUCAAGAACAACAUACAUUUUGGCUCAUAAUUUUUCUAUAAAUGUAUAUGUUGUCGGUUGCUACAAAAAUCAAUAGAAAAUGAUUUAGAUAUGUACUCAUACAUUUUCUGCUUAUUAAAGGUUCUGUGAACCAAACUUCCCAAGAUAGAAAUCAGUGAAGUCCUACCAUCACAGAAAAUGAUUCAGAUAUCUGAACCUUCAUCAUCGCAAUUCAACUCGUGAAUUUUACAAUGCAAUGUAGGGAAGUGAGUCAGUACAUAGUAUUUGCCCUUCUGAAAGGACAACUAUAUUUUUCAUUUAUACUCUCCUUUUAGGUUUGUUUAAGUUAUGGUGUUGGACUGAUGGUGAAAGAACAUUUUUCCUUCAAAAAAAACAUUUUUCCUUCAGAAAUGGGGGCAAACUCAGAUAAUGAAUUGCAGAGUGGAGAUAUCAUUCUACAGCGAUUUUUCAAGUGACUGUCUUAUAUCAGCAGGUAGGAGAACGAGAUUAUGCUCUCGAGUAAAGCUGGGCCGGAGGGUCUCUGGUGUAAAAACAAGAAGAACGAGAUUUAUUUUACAUACAUUUGAACGAAAGAACUCCUCACGCUCAAAUUUCAAUCUAGCAUUCAGCACGUAUGCAAAAAGACCUGGAUCAAACAUGAGAGGAGCCUCAUAUCUGACAACUUCACUGGCUACUUCGUACUACUCGUGCAGAACUGCAACGUUUCUGCCUGUGAGCAACUACUGUGAAUGUGAAGUUUCUGCAACGUUCAGUCUUCCUUCGAUGAGAUCUCUCACGAGACUGUUGGAAGAACGGCUUGAUGAUCCACCUUCCUGAAUGGCUCUUUGUGAAGCGUCACGCAAUUCUGCAGAUCUUCUUCUCGUUUCUUGCCUACUAUCAUCGCCAAAAUCCAUAAGCUUUGUCACGGCAGAAGAGACUGUGGCCCUGCUGACAAUGCCAUCCUCCCUUCUCUGUUCCUUCAAGUUGAUCCCGACCUUCCAUUCAUCAGCAAGAAGCCGGGCGUUCACCAGUUGAUCCCAGGCAACGGGGAACGCGAGCACAGGCACUCCGGCGAACAGGGCCUCCAGGGUCGAGUUCCACCCAGAAUGGCUCAGGAAGCCGCCGACCGAGGGGUGGGACAGGACCUUCAGUUGGUCACACCAUGGCACCACCAAGCCCUUGUCACCGGAGAUCUGCUGCAGAGUGGUGGUGGUGGCCUUGUCCCGGGCCACCCAGAAGAACCUGACUGCGCUGUCAUGAAGCCCCAUGGCAACCUCUUCCAACUGUGAGGAUGGCAUCGAAACAUAGCUGCCGAAAGAGACGUACAGCACUGAAUUUUUCGGUUGGGCAUCCAGCCAGUCAGAGUAUUUCUCACGCUGAAUCUUUUCUGAGUCGCCUUCAGGAGGCGUAUGUGGAAUUGAAGGACCAAGUGUAUAUAUGGGGCAUGGAAGCACCUGUGAUAUUCCAUCGAUAGAACCAGCUUCAAGCUCAUAGAAGGAGGUGAAGAGGACACACUGUGCUUUGCGCACAUUGGAGAACACUUGCGCAGCUCGUUUCAUCGGCAGCUCCCAGGAGCGAAAUACCUUGAUAUCAGAACAUUUUACUGACGACAGGGUUGGGAAUGGCAAAUAUUGAUCCAAGGACUUGCAGCUUUGUCCUGCAGAUCACGGAAGAUCAGAUAUCUAUAGUUACUGAGUUGAGCAACUAAAAGUACAUUUGCAAACACAAUAGCACUGUAAUUGGCUUGAUGCUUCCGAAUACCAUUGUGCUUUGGAGAUUCUGAAUGCAUGGAAGUUGGAACUUGCCAUCAGCAGAUCAGCUAAAGAGUAAAGAUAUUGAUUAAUGGUACAGCAAUAAUUUAGUGGGCUAUCAUUCAUAUCUUUUUAAUUAAUAACAAGUGAUUUUUGUGAUUCUGAAUUCUGAAGAUCAUAAGCAUCUGUAACUUUUUCUAGACCAAAACCAUCAUUGCACUAUUCAAACAAACGAUUCACUUAAAUUUUUUUCUAGAUUGAAACCACCAGUACACUAUUCAACCUUUUUGCAUCCAAGUUCUUGGAAGCAGGUAAUAUUUGCUCAUUAAACAUUCAGAUACCUGAACCUUCAUGAUUGCAAUGGCAACUCGUGAAUCUUCAGCAUAGACUAUGAUAAAAAGAAGCAUGCCUCUUAAUUCUUCACUAUUAGUGUUACUAAAAGGACAGCUAUUUAGCCAUUUGGUAGUCUCCUUUUAGGUAUACUCCCUCCGUCUCAAAUUAAAAUUCGUUUUGGCUUUCAUAGAUACGUAGUUUUUACUAUGUAUCUAAACAUAGUAUACAUCUAGAUGCAUAGUAAAAUAUAUGUAUCUAAAAAAGCCGAAACAAAUUGUAAUUUAAGACAGAGGCAGUAUUUGUUAAGUAAUUGUCUUGGCUAAUGGCCACAGAAAAAGAUUUCUUCAGAAAGGGGCAAAUUAAGAUCACGCCGUGCAGACUGAAUAUAUCAGAUUACCGCGAUUUUGUAAGUGACUGCCUUAAAUCGGCGGGAAGAAGAAGAAGAAAAUAGCUCCCCCCUUCGCCUCUAUCAACUUAAUUAAAUAACAAGAUUUUAUUUACCCUACGUUUGAACAAUCGAACUCCCAUUGAUCAAAUUACAAUCUAGCAUUCAGCACAUCUGUAAAAAGAGGAAGGUACUGUAGCCAAACCUUCUUCCCCUUCAGGGCCAUCCACCGGCGGCCACUGGUCCAUGUGGUAGAGAGCCAAGAAGAACGUGGCCGGCAUGGUCCACAGCGAGCACACCGGUAUCCCGCGCGCCGCGCCGGCCGCCACACCCCACGUCAGGUAGGUGUCGACCACGACGGCGUCCGGCCUCCGCUCCAGCGCCAGCCGGUCCAGCAGCCGCUCCACGGGCUCCCCCAUCUUGGCGUGCACGGCCUCGAUGAAGCCGACGUGGUCAGCGCCGCGGCCGCGCUCGGAGGGGAUGACGUUGGGGAUGGUGGCGAGGCGGACGCGCUCGGGGAGCGUGGCGGGCACCCCCGCGGCGGCCAGCAGCGCGUGCCACUCCUCCGUGACGACGACGGUCACGGCGAGGGCGGUGUCGGCGGCGGCGAGCUGGCGGCACACGACGAGCAUAGGGUUGAUGUGGCCGCGGCCCGGGAACGGCACCGCCACCACAUGCCGAGACGCCGCCGCCGUGGCCAUUUUUCGCUACUUACAGACUGCAGAGCGAGUUCGGUGGAGCUUAACAACUACUACAUGGCAACAAAAUGUUGUGUGCAUUUUUCAUUUGUUCUCUCACUGUCGCAGACUAGUCAGAGAGCACAUCACAGUAUUGGUCUACAGAGUGUCAGAGUUUAGUCACAGACCAAAUUUGAAACGCUAAGCAAACUUGCGUUGCACUAGAAAUCAAGGCUUUUCCACUUUUCGAUCAUGGUAGGACAUUUUGUAGUGUUUUCCUUUAUAUGAUGUUCGGCAUUUGAUUUUUUUUUGGGUACUCGAACAAGUAAGUGGCAAUUAAUAUAGAAAAACAUUUGCAAGAUACCCGAUUACGCUGAUUAUAACUUGUAUUUCUUACUAGAAACAAUCUGUUCCUCACUGUGUACACAACCUCUCCUCUUCAAUAAGCAAGCUAUGAACAGCCCCGUACAUAGCUACUCCAUAGAAAAAAUCGUUCUUUGCUCCACUUCCCAAGCCUCAAAAACCAGUAGCUUGCCUCGUCAGAUUAUAUACCUCAUACUUCAGAGCUUCAGAUAAGUAACUCAUCACGUGAUGUUGCUAGCUAACAACUGAUCACCCGCUCAACCAAGCAUCUGCAUCUCACAGAGUCCAUUGCUGCAAUCAUACUUGAAACGACUCCACUAUGGCCUUGAGAACCUUCUCCGACGACGACCACUGCUUGUCGCUGGCGCUUGCGACGAAGAGCACCACCGUGUUCCCCUUGGCGGUGGCCUUGGCCAGAUUGUGAGAACCGGUCAGUGCCAGCGGAGUCUCCAACACGUAGCUGUAGUACUGCAUCGAAAGAACAACGAAACAGAUUUCAAUUGCUGCACAGGCAAUUCCUGUGCUACGAAGGGGGUUCGAGUUCAAUUACAGUUUGGCCGUCGAUCUUCUCGACGCUGGUGUCGACGAGCUCGUCGGAGUCGAAGGUGUUGCCGGUGACGAAGGGCCCCAGGGAGGCGAUCAGCCUCUCGGGGCUGCCGAUGUCCUCGAUGGUGGCGUUGGGCUUGUUGGUGAGGCGGAUGAGCGGCGAGGCCACCACCUGCACCUUGCCCUGCUUCUCGUCCUCGAACUUCACCUCCACCCACGGCUCGGCGCACUUGGGCUGGCAGUAGUUCCCGGACAGGAUGUUGGCCACCCGCGUCUGCUUCCAGGUAGGCGGCAGGACGAACUCGUACGGUUCCACAUUGCCUGGAAAUGGUACGGAUGAGAUCAAUCGACGAACUGCAAUACGGGGGCGGAGAAUGCAUGGCAAGAAGCGAACGUCACCGGCGCGGAGGGCGGGGGUGUCCUUGGGGGUGGCCCGGAAGAAGACGAAGCCCGGGUUGGACGGCGCCGGCGGCAGGUACGUGCCGACCUCGACCUCGCGCGCCUGGGCCGGCAGCGGCGCCCGCGACAGCAGCGCGCCCAGCGCCGCCCCUAGCACCAGCUCCCUCCGGUGGCUGGCAACCGCGACGAGAGGCGCCGGCUGCGGGACGGCGUUGUCUGCCGACGGCACAGCGGCCUGCGGGGGAGGAGCGCAGCGCGAGCUGGCGGGCGCGGGCGGCCGGAGCGAGGCGAAGAGCGGGGAGGACACAGAAGAGGCCAUGGGCAACAAAAAAGGGGCUCGCUCGCGGCACGGCGUCGCGUCUGGCUCCCGCGGGAGCGACGCCUUAUCCAGACGGAACGGGCGCGCGCGAUAUUUUCUCGCUCUGUUCUGUUCGUGUGACCGCCUCCGUGUCCGUGAGUGUGGAGCGGCAAAGCCCAGGAGGGCGUGCGUACGCGCGGCUCGGCAGCGUCCUCUUGUCAGCCGCCUGCGGAUAAGAUAUAGGAGCCGCGCGAGCGGGGGUGUGCGGCCGAGAGGCGACAGCACUCGGCAAGCAUGGCUCCGGCAGCGCUGGCCGCCUCCGUCUCCCCCGCGGCAGCGGCGCUCGCACCCGGCGGCGGCGUCCGCCCGGCCAGGAUAGCCUCCCUGGCUACUCGCAAUUCCAGUAUGUGCCACUGCUACCUCUUGGCUUCCUCCUCAUCUCGCCGCUGAUUUGAUCGGAAUCCAAUGCAAAUCUUGCUCUUUUGUGCUGUUGUUCCCCAGCCAAAACUGUAUUGCCACCGAAAAACGACCUGCUCAGAUCGGCGAGGCAGAGGAGGCGCCUGGCGGCACGGAGCAGCACCUCGUCGCCCUCGGAGACGAGCACGGGCGAUUCCCAAUCCCCGAAACAAGAGAAGGUAAUCCAUGAUUCCAUGUCCUGGAACUGAAAACACAAGCGCGCUCGCCUCGAAACACCCAAAACUAACCGCGCGGGGGACACGCGUCUCGUUGCAGGCGCCGUUCGGGUACACGAGGAAGGACGUGCUGCUGAUCGGCCUUGGCGUCACGGCCUUCGGCGUCGGGCUCAAGUACGGGCUGGAGGUAAGGCGCCAUGUCCAGCCAUUACAAGAAGCUUGCCGCGUUUUGUUUCUGUUCGUUCAGCAACUCAUAAACGCUACGCGCAGCUCGUCGGCGUCGACCCCCUGCAGGCCGGCAACGUGGUGCAGCUGCUGGUGGUGCUCGGGAUGACGGUGGGGUGGAUCUCCACCUACAUGUUCCGGGUGGCCAACAAGGACAUGACCUACGCGCAGCAGCUCAGGGACUACGAGAAGCAAGUCAUGGAGGUUGGGAGCUACACCUUUGCCAUUGGCACCACCUCUGUACAACAGAGUAGCUGCUUCGCGGCUUCUGAAUUCUCACACCUGCUAGCACUGCAGAAUAGAAACUGACCGCCGUGGGUCGGCCGCUUUUGUUGCAGAAACGGCUGGAGAGCUUGUCGGAGGCUGAGCUGCAAGCCCUGCUGGAGCAAGUGGAGGAAGAGAAGCAGCGCCUGCCGCAGAUCCCGGAAGAGCCUAACGCCAUCACCUUCAAGAAGAAAUGAGGAGCACGCCACACUCUGUGCCAAACGGUCAACUGGACACUGUUCUUCUUCGACAUGUUCAUAGCAUAGCUUCAGUAGCUAGCCCCAUCGCUUCGUUAAGAUCUGUACAAUACGCCCGCUAGGCCACUAGUGCUGUCGAACUUGAACCAUUCAUUUUCUGUCGUCGUGGAAGAACAGCAAUAUGCACCAAUAACCAGUAUCCAGUGUUUCAGGAUAUGUACAGAAGAUCGCUGUUGUUACUAUCGCGAUGAUGCAGCCUUACCUGUUUCUCUUCCAUUGCUUCGUUUACUUGGAUUGUGAUUGAGAUUACUCAAUCUGGGAAGGUAAAAAGAAAAAAAAAUAAAUCAGAACUGAUGUGCCUUACAUAGAGUUGAAUUUACCAAAAAAAAAGACAAAAUCUUAUCUCCAAAAGAGGUGCAUAUAUCGUGUUAAGGUGCAGCGGAAACCGGCCCGACCCGCUAUACCCACGAGCCGACGCUCUACCAGACCUAGAUCCACCGGAGCCCAACCAACCAAAAACGUUAGGCCUAACUUAACCCAAAAGAUUAGCCUCAUGGGUGAGGAUGGGUGAGGGUUGCCCACCUUAUAUGUUGUGUUCGCCAAUCGUCAAUUUCUGAUUUGGGAUUAAAUUUAACAAUCUCUCCCGACACACAUCAGGCCCAACUCUUCAAUCAGAAGACGUUCUACCAGGCCCCGAGUCCAAUUCUCCAGUCGCAUCACAACCUAUGUGACCUUCCGAAGACGUUCACGAGCUCCUCCAUCACCACGUGACCCAAAGAUAUUCCAAAUUUUCCAACCUUCGACUUUGAUACCACUUGUUUGUUAGAGUGCGCAGCGGAAACCGGCCCGACCCGCUGUACCCACCUGUACCCACGAAUUGGUGCCCUACCAAACCCAAACCCAGAUCCAUCAUAGCCCAACCAACCAAGGCAUCAGCCCUAAAUCAACCGACAUGCCGGUUUCCGCUGCGCAAUCUAACGUAUCGUUAAUUCGUUAUAACAAAUGUCAGAGUGGUUGUGGCGUUCGGAAUCAGAAGUUUCCAUUCUUUGGAUGGAUGAACAGGGGGCUUAGUCCAAAUUGCAAGAGACAAGCAGCAAGAGAAAGAGUUAGCGAUCAGGUUGGCAACGGGGCGGUGCGGGGCCGGGGGAGCGAUCCCCGUCUCCGACCCGAUCCUUGAUUCGCAGUCCCCACCCCAGCCCUGAAAUCGUUAACGGGGCGAAAUUGCCUCCCGGCCCCGUUCCCUGCAGAUCCCCGAUCCCCGACGGGGCCUCGUGGGGACGGCAUAUCAAGGCAAGUCAGUGGCUGGCGACUUGGCGAGGAUGGCCGGACGGGGUGGAGCCGUGGAGGACGAGGAGUUGGGGACGGGCGGCCGAGCUCCUGAGUCCUGAUGGGGAGGGGGAGGAGGACUCGGGCGCAACCGCGCAACGACGAGGCACGCCAUUGGGACUCGAGUGGCCGAGCUCCGGAGCCGCGCCGCCAGUGUCAAGGUGCAGGAGGCGCGUCGGUGUCGAAUGGAAACGGCGGAGUUGGGGCGGCGGCGGCCCGCGGCUGGGGCGAGGGCCCGAGCCUCGAGCGGCGGCGGCAGCAGAUUGGGAGGAGCCAUGGAGGACGAGUUGGGGAUAGGCGGCGGCGGCAGAUGGGGAGGAGCCAUGGAGGACGAGUUGGGGAUGGACGGCGGCGGCGCAUGGGAAGGGUGAGGGAGAGAGAGAGAUAGAGAAAGUGAGAACGAGAGGAGAGAGAUUAGGGUUAUAGGUUGUUGGGCCAUAGCGGGCAACAUGGGUCAGCCAUCUCCCUAUGUUUUCCAUUUUUGAAUCCCUAACAGAUUUUUACGGGGCAAAUUGGCAACCCACCCCGCCCCGACUGGUAAGACCGACUCCAACCGGUCGCGGCUGCGGAUAGGCAUUCGCCCGGGACGCGGAGCGUGGGGCCCGCCCUUUGGGAAAGAAGAACCGCGGCCUCCUUCCAGCGGCUUGCGGAACGGCCGUCGCAUCCCCGCCCACUCCGCCGGCGGCCGUUGGUUCCCGCGUGAACCUUGAAGGCGACGCUGGUGCUGCAGCAAUCCCGGCGGCGCCCUCGGGUCACCGGAAUCGUUCCUUCCCGGCGGCGCUCUCCCCCCCCCCACCCCCACAAUUGUUCCUUCUCUGCUCCACCCCCAAAAUCGUUCACGCGGCACUCCUUCCCGGCGGCACUCUCCCCCCCACCCCCAAAAUCGUUCCUUCUCUGCUCCAGCUCCACCACGGAGGUAUGCAUCGAUGCUCCCCAAAAAUCGUUCCUCCUCAAAGAAAGUUAUCUUUUCACCAUUUAUCUGCUGCAACUUCCAUGUACAGUACCUUCGACUAGGGUUUGUGACCAAUGUGGCGCCGACGAUUGAAGCGUCUCAAGAGUAUGCGUGACCACCGAUAUGCUGAGGAUGAGAUGAUUGCUAUGACAGUCAUGAUGUACCUGGUUGAGGAGGAAAAAGAGCCGCACCGUGGUUCGGUAUUUGGUCGUAGGGUCAUACCAAGAGAUCGUCACAGUGCGUAUCUACGAUUGAUGAAUGAUUACUUUGUCGACAACCCCGUGUAUCCAGAGUAUUACUUCCGGCGCAGGUGCAUUAUUUGUUGCUUCAUGUCAAGUUGUUCCUUGUGUAUACCAUAUGGUUGUGCUCAUUGCUCCUAUAUGGUUGCAGGUUUAGAAUGGGUAGAGACAUGUUUACAGACAUCUGUCGCGAUGUAGAGGCAGCAAAUGAAUACUUCAAGCUUGGCUAUGAUGCCACGAAACAGCCAGGGUUCCACCCAAUACAGAAAGUGACGGCUGCGGUGAGGGUGCUAGCGUAUGGUGGUGCGGCUGAUUCACUUGACGAGUACAUUCGUAUGGGUGAGAGCACGGUCAUUGAAACUGUCAAUCACUUCACGCGCACUAUUGUUUCACUUUAUGCAGAUGAGUACCUUAGGCAACCCACAGCCAAUGAUAUUUCUCGGUUACUUAGUAUUGCUGAAGAAAGGGGGUUCCCGGGAAUGUUAGGGAGCAUCGAUUGCAUGCACUGGGAAUGGGAAAAAUGCCCCACAGCAUGGCAUGGUCAGUACAGGGGCCACUUCAAAAAACCUACAAUUAUCUUGGAGGCAGUGGCAAGUUAUGAUCUUUGGAUUUGGCACGCCUUUUUUGGGAUGCCCGGAUCUUGCAAUGAUAUAAAUGUGCUUAAUCGAUCUCAUGUGUUUGACUCCAUUUCUAGUGGUUACGGUCCCAAAGUUGAUUUCAAGGUUAAUGGCAAAGAUUAUCAUAUGGGAUACUACCUCGCUGAUGGAAUUUAUCCUCCUUGGGCCACCCUUAUAAGUGGUGUUCCUUCUCCAGUCAACAUGCAGCAGCAGCAUUUCACACUAGCCCAAGCAGCUUAUAGGAAAGAUGUUGAAAUGAUGUUUGGAAAACUACAAGGAAAGUACCAUAUAGUCAAAGGGCCUGCUAGGGUAUGGUGUCCGGAGGACAUGAGAUAUAUUAUGUUGUGUGCUGUAAUCUUGCAUAAUAUGGGCAUCAAGUAUGAGCGUGGACCAGGGUUGGCAAUACAAGAGUAUGAAGGUUCUACCGAACCUAGGCUCUCAAACACCCGAAAUGUUCCUGAGAUAUCUGCUUUGAUUGAGAACCACAGACGCAUCAGGUCUCGGGCUGCCAAUGCACAGUUGAAGGAAGACUUGAUCGAGCACCUAUGGAUUCAUGACGGCCAUCGAAGAGUCCAGCAGUAAUUAGUAUGUAGGCAAGAACUAUGAGAAAGCUUUAGCAUGUAGGCAAGAACUAUGAGAAAGCUUCUUUUGGGUCUAACAAUGGCCGCAUUAUGUUAAGUUGUAAUGCUUAUUUUAGUGAAUGUUAAGCUGUAAUGCUUCUUUUGGGUGAAUGUUAAGCUGUAAUAUAAUUAGGGCUCUGUUUAUUUCAGUGAAUGUUAAACUGUAAUGCUUACUCAUGGUUGAAUAUGUUGUCUAUUGUCCAAGUCAAAUGUUUAUGUCGUCUGAUUCUGGGAGCAAUGUUUGGUUUCAUAUUCAGAGAGUAACUCUUUGGUGUAUUGCUGUUGUCCACUUGAGUCAUCUCCAUCUUGAAUUGUAAUGCCAUUAUUAACAUCAUAUAAGAAAUAUGCCAAUUCGUUGUAAACCAUAGCAUUGAAAGGAAAGCAUGGUCUUACCCAAUUCGCUUUAAUAGAUUUCAGUGAAAGUAACGGGAAUAAAUGGAACCAGCUGUUGUUUUUUGGACUGAAAUUAGGGCUUGGCAUGUACGUUUUUUCAGUCCAAUUUUCAGUCCAAUUUUCAGAUCAAUUUUUCAGCAAACACUAUGGGAUAGCUGCAGUCCAAUUUUUCAGCACACUAACAGGCAACAAGAGCUGAGACGAAUCUCAUUUUUCAGUGAUUGUUCAAAUAUUACACUAAUAAUACAACAUAACUUGUUCAAGUACAGCCCACACAAAUAUUACAAGAAAGAUGGUUCAGCACACACUAAUAAUACAACAAAACUUGUUCAAAUAUUGCAAGAUUGUGGAGCACACACUAAGAUUGUGCAGCACACAAUAAUACAGCCCAAGUACAGGGCUGACCAGCUCAAACACUCGGAAGCUCACUUUUCACCAGAUGGCUGACCAGCUUGUAGUCUUCUGGCAGCAAUCUCUUUUUGCUCGAUGACAUAAUAGUCACGCACCCAUGAUGGAAAUUUAUCCAAGUCAGCCAUCAUGACUUUAUCCACACGUUCUUUUUCUUGAAGUGCCAACAUUUUCUCUUGAAUAGAGACCUGCUUUAUCAACAACUCCUUCUGAAAAUUCAUGGAGUCCUUCUGAAAAUUAAUGGACUCCUCUUGUAGUCUCAGCUUCCUCUCGUAUCUCUCUACCAUUUCCUUCGACUCAUCCUUGAUAUGUUCCUCUUGCCUUUCUUCAUACUUAGCCCUGUCACUACGGAUCUUUUGCAGCACCUCAAGACACCCAGUAGAGCUAGCAGAUGAGUUUGCACUCCUUAACCUCUUUGCACUAUCCCUGCCCAUUGGUCUAACCUCAUUCUGGGCAUUGAUCUGAGGAGUAUCUGUUGCCGGCGCCAUUGGGCUCACAGGUUCAGCAGAGGGCUCCGGCCUUGUUUUAUUAUGUUGCUUCUUCUCUGCAACAAACUCAUGCCAUUUCUGCUCGUGCCUCAAUAUGAACCAGCAAUGAAUGAACUUGAAAGAGUGACCAAGAACACCAUUAUACAACUGCAGCGCAUCUUUUAUCUACAUUAACAUUUAACAAGUUCAUUAGGACAUAUACAAUAACAUUUGUAAACAUGCACAAUAAAAGCCAGUGACGGUACAAAGAAAGUACCUUAUCAUCCUCAUUUUUGCCGCUUUGGUUCUUCCUUUCAAUCUCUGCAUAAAACCCAGUGAACUUGCAAGUAUCUUUGGAUAUUUCACCCCAUCUGUGUUGGAGGGAGGAAAUGGUCCUUUGGCCAUACAUGCCACGAUUCUCGUUGUAGUAGUCACAAAUUCUCUCCCAAUAAGUUUUGCUGGGCUGAUUCACAGAGACAACAGGAUCUUUUGACACAUUCAGGUAAGCUGAACAGAUAACCUCAUCUUCCUUAGGAGUAUAGCUCGAGGACCGAAUGGCUGUGCUUUUUGAAACCUGUCCCUGCUUUGCUUUUUUGGGUCGUUUGCCAGUGCUUGGUGACUCAGUGGUGUCGUUGUUUGAAAUCUGAAAAAAAAAUGGACGUAAGACGGCCACCGAAACCAGUCUAGAAAGGCAACCGAGACAAAUUACCUGUACAUCACAAUGAGGAGUUGCCUCGUCCUGCCCCUGUGUCGUUUGGCAACCAAGCAAAUCAGUAUAUGGGGUGCAACUAGCCACACCAAAGCCAUGUUGGCUACCAUCAUCAAGUUCAUUCCACACGUUCUCCAUAUCGCUGUGAUAUCAUUAACAUAAACAGGCAUCAAGAGGGAUUCACAAAGACAACAUGAAUGGCACACGAACAACUCACAAACUUGUCAUCAAACAUGCUACGCCAACAGGAUUAAUCCAGACCCAAAAUCAACAAGCAUACGAAAUUAGUCCAUAACUUAUCAUGAAACUAACUAAAUCCAGACCAGCAAAAGCUGCAGCAAACAGGUUGUUUGCCCUGUCUGAAUCAUCAAGUUUUCUUGACUGGAGGUAGUAGAAUCCAACUUUGCAGCAACCCUUAAAUAGCAAAACAAAUGGCUGAGAAAGCAUGUAUAUCAAGAAUUCAUACCCAUUCUGGCAAGCUGAUUAACCCAUUUUGGAAUUAAAUUUCCUGUCAACCUUUUCCACAUAUCCUCACAGAAAUGGUUGCAAAUUUUACUUAUCAAAUGAUAGGUAUCCCCAUUGUAAUUUACUGACUGAAUCUCCAUGAACUCUCUGACUUGGAGAGGAUCCAGGCAGGUGGUUCCCAUGUAUAUUGAUUUCCUAAAUUUGCAACCAGGACACUGCCGAGGUUCCACCUCAAAAACUCCACUAAUCGAAUAGUCAUGUGCUCCAAAUGCAUACUGGUUAAAUAGCAAAUUUUCUCAUUUUAUUAUGUCCCGGGCGGUGCCUAUUUUAUUUCAAGUACGAGAGGAAUUGGGUUUGCUGUUGAUGGAGGAGGAUCGGGUUCUUCAGGUACCGCGAUGCAUCGGCAAUAGAGGUGGAGCCAUACCAGCAGGAGAUGAGAUCGAGUGGGGCGAGUCGAGGAGCACCUGCUGCAGAUGGUGCCGGAGCCGUGGAAGAUCCAGCGCUGGGGGAUGAAGAAGACCUUGUGCGCCGCCGGCUCUUGCAGCUGCUUCUCCGUCCCCCCGAGAAGCGGUGGGGGUGGUCCGUCCGCGCCGGAUCUUCGUCCGCGCCAGUGGUGGUGGUGGCGGUGCUCCGUCCGCCCGAGAACGGCAAAUCUGGCGGUGGUGGUCCGAUGCGACCUAGGCGCCGGCGAGGAACGGCGCAGCAGAAGCACGCCUCCGCCCGCCCGAGAUGCACCAGAGAGGGAGAAGGGGAGGACGGGAGCGACGGUUGGGAUGGGAGGCCGGGGGGUCGCGCAGAUCUGCGGGACGGGAGGGAGGUAUCCGUUUUUCCGAGACGCAAUGGGCAAUCCGCUGGGCGCGUGAACAGUGCGCCCAGCGUCCUAUUUACCGCGGCGGGGACGGGAUAGGAAGUCCGCUGGAGUCGGUCUAACAGGCGGGUCCCCGCCGAGCUCCGCUCACGUGGGGAUUUUUGUCAACCUGGGUUAGGAAGUUUUCGGUAAAAAAGAAAAGAAAAAAAUAAGCGUAGGCAAUGGCCCAUUGUGAACGGGCCCAAAAGGAGGCCCGUAAGGCCUGUCUCAUCCUGCGUGGGUGGUGGAUAAGAUAAAGGAAACAAAGCACCAGGGAGUGGCUAGUUCGCAGCACUAGCGAGUCCUCCAACCAUGGCGCUCGCGCUGGCCUCUCCAAUGGCGUCCCUCUCCUUCCGCUCGGGGAGGAUCUCCGCGGCGGCUAUCGGCGGCGUCGCCCGCACUGGAAGGGCGAUGCCGGUGGGCGCCUCCGCCUCCCCGUUUCUCCGGAGCUCCUUCGUCUCGUCCUCCUCCACGUCGUCAGCCUCCGCCUCCCCCGCCUCGCUCUCGGCGGCGGUCUCGGCGCCGCUGGCCUUCACGUCCUCUUCCUCGUUCGCCGGUGAGGAUGGAUCAUGUCUUCCUUUUCUUCUCUAUAUUCGUGUGCUAAGCCUCUGGGGAAUUAGGGGGGGGGGGGGGGGGGGGGGGUAGUUACUUAUUACUACGCUCGCACGGGGAAAUGGCUUUGAAAUUACGACUUCCUGCACUGUGUGUUACUGUGUUGGCACUAGUUUUUGCUGAAUUGGAUGUUCAGUACGUGUUGCUAUACAGAAUUAAUGAAUGAUACCAGAAAGGUGGAAAUGUAUGCAUGGGAGGUGGAGCUAGUACAGUUUGCUCCUCUAGUCCAAUAUAGCGAACAGAAGGAAAAAUUGGGGAUCUAUGUGUUGCUUUAACAUGUGGAAACAGAAUUAUAAAGGCGUCCUAGUUAGUUGUCUGAAAAUACUGGAAUUUGUCUGGUGGGUAUUAUGAAAAUCUGAAAUUCAGUUAAUGCUGAACCUGUUGGUUGAUAUGGAUGGUUCUCUGAAAUCUGAAAUUUCAUAUCUUGGAGUUGAGCAUUCCUGUAAUCGAUUACGGAUCAGCAAGUUUUAUUUUGUAAUUUGAAUGUGAGAUGAAGUUAACUUGUAGAGUACUUUGUAGAGCCAUUUGUGUUAGUGUCCAAACAUGAAACUGACUAUGCUCAUAUCUGACUAUUUCAGUGAAUCUGAUCGGGUUUUUUCAGAGCUAUGAGGAGUAAAUAUGAAACUCUUAUCUUUGUUGUCAUCUCCAUGUACCCUCUGAUGAAUUCAAGAUUGUAUGCAUCUGAAUUUGUCAUGAAUCAUGAGGGCAUCGCAAAAAUGCCAAAAUCUUACAAAAUAGCUACAUAGUGUUGCCCUUUUGUUUUCUGUGCUGAAUCAUCUAUAUGUUGCAGAAUCUACAGCCGCAUAGAACUCGCCUCUUGUUUUCUGUCCUGAAUCAUCUAGACAUGACAACCUCUUACACAACAUUGAAUUGGCCUUUUCUUUUGCUUGACUAGAAAUCAAGUUUUAAGAAGGGCAGCACACAACUUAACCAUUAACCAGCAUAACAGAACAGAUCAGAUAACACAGUUGAAGCAUAAGGAGAAUCACCUCCAAUAAACUUGAUCUCAAGGCUCCUGCUCUGACGCCACUUUAAUCCCAGUCGGUUUUUCCAUUACCUAAAGCAAUCCCAAAGCUCCUAAACUAAGCACAGAAAAAUUGGAUUAAAUGAAACACUUAAGCAUUUAUAACCUUUUUCCAAACUCUAGACACAACCAGAUGGGUACUCACAAAUAAGUGGUUACCAAUGCUGUGUGCCUUCAUUGCUCUGAAACUUUUGACAUAUUGUGUGGCAGGUUCAUCUUUGGGAAUUGAGUUCAGCUACAACAGAAUGACAACACGAAGAUCACGUGGUCUGCAGAUUAGGGCUGGGAAGGCUGCUCUCUGCAUGACCAAGAGGUCAAGAUCUAGGAAGUCACUUGCCCGUACACAUGGUUUUCGCAGGCGGAUGCGGACUACUUCUGGAAGAAAGGUACUGAAGCGCAGGCGUGCCAAAGGCAGGAAGGUUCUCUGCACAAGAACAAACUCACCCACUGGGAAGAAAAGAAUGUUCUAAUUCCACUGCAAUAUGACGUGCAUGCAACUGCAAGUAUGCUUUCUACAUCCAAUCUUCUGAGCCCCUGUCUAUCUGUAACAAUCAUGUAGCAUCCUAUUUCUGUUUUUUUGGUUAAUACAUCUGAAUCACCUUCUCCACACAAUUUCAAGUUACCUGUUUUGGAUGCCGUGGUCCUUAGUCCCUGUUGUUUUUGGUGGAACGCAUAUUAAUAUAUUAUGCUUUCUGCUUCCAAGUUUUAUUUGGUGUGUGAAUGAGAUUUCAUUAUGAAUGUUGACUCUGCCUGUAGGUCCUGAAGUUGUGUGCAGUAGUAUCUUCAGAGUUUCUAUUGUCCAUUGGCUCUGAUCUGGAUGCAGUAGGAUCAUUUUUUGCUCUGCAGGAAUAAUCCAUUUAAUUUUAUCUGCAAUCACAUGCCCUAAAUCUAUUCGAUGUAGUUCUAUUAACAUGGACUGCAUAGCCGUUUUCACAGGUCAAAUCACCUGAUUAAUCUGGAUCUGAAAUUGCGGAUUAUAAUAACCACUGAAAUGUGAAAAAACCAAACCUAAUCAACCGAUUUGAUUAUGUUUAAUUAUGUCAGAUACUCUAUCUGUUCUACUAUUAUAGUACAUAGAUGGUCGAUAAGCACAGGCAGAAAAAAGAAAAGAGGAAUCACCAUCUAAGCCAGGACUUGCCGGGCUGCUGGCGGCGGGGAAGAAGGGAUCCUGUGUGCUAGCGGAAUCUUGUCUUUAUCACUGGAUUGAGGAUAUUCUCAGGCCAGGGAUACACCGGUACCGGGGAGAUGCUCAAGAGCUCAAGCACUCUGCGGCGAGCCUCCUGGUCCGGUGUCUCCUGCGGCGGCGGCCGUGAAUACAGCAGCGCCGCCGCCUCCAGCUUCCUGAGCUCGCGAACGUAGCAGCGCCGGCCUAUCCGGGACAGGGUCCCGUUCCUCUCCCUCCGAGGGCACCUCCACGAGAGCCACCACCUAGCGUACGGCGUACUCGUAGGUUGCGCCGACGGCCGCCAUGCGCCUGGCGAUCGGCGCGUGCACCGGGUCGGUCUCGUUGCUAGCCCAGGCAUGCCGUGCAGCAAGAGCUGGUGGGCCUCGGCCCUCGGCGUCCGCGGUCAUGUUCGCCCAGUACUGCCACGGGAGGAGCUCGGGGGCAUCGGCGUCUGCACGCGUAAACGAACAAAAAAAAGUUGAUGGGAUUGAGAUGGGCAACGCGAUCGAGAUGGUAAUGUGCUACGUACCUUGAAGCCCCCGGUGAGUGGACGCCGCAUCGCCAUGUAGGAGGGGCAACGCGAGGAGUACGAGGGCGAGCGAGCGCACGCCACGCACGGAGGAGAAGGUGCCCAUAGGUUAAUCUGUGUAUACAACUACCGGCGGCGGACAGGGCUACAAGAGAUCCUCCCAAUGUAUAUGUAUUUGAAUUAGUUGGACCACAAUCUCCAUCGUAUAUACGUCUGUUUCUCGUAACAGCUUGGGCUUUCGACUUAAGUUUUCUCUUUUUUUUAAAAAAAAUAGGUUGAUACGCGUGCAUUGUUACGGGCAACAUAAAGAAUAGGGAAAAGUCUAUAUUUAAACCCUAAACUAUCACGUUCAUCUGAUUUUCACUCUCGAACUACAAAACCAGACAGCCUGCACCAUCAAAUUAUCGAAACCGGAUGAAAUACAACCCCCACCAUAAACCAUCCCGAUUUUGAUCUGACGUGGCACAUGAUUUUAAUGCAUCAACUUGUAACAGGCGAGCCUACAUGCCAUACUUUUUGCAAUUUGAUCCAUUUUUUGAAAAAAAAAACGUUUGGACCUCUGCACGACGUAAUCUCAGCUUUUGACCUUGGGGUUCGGCGUCGUGAUUCAUAGCGCCGAGGCGCCGUGACUCAUGGCGCUACGCUGUCUGCCCAUGUUUACGUAUGCAGCUUAGGGGGCACCGACGUGGCAGGUAGCUCGGCGCCACGACUGACGACGCCAAGACCAAUGGCGGUAAGAUAGGCGCCACAGAUCUUGGCGCCGAGCUUGCUUACAAAAAAUCGCUGAACCUUCCCGUGGCCGAGCCUUGUUCCAUUUGUUCUUGCCCAUUCUCUAUUUUUUCCUCUCCCCAACCCGCCGAACCUCAUCAAUCGACAUAUUGGACCUUGAAAACCUUGAUUUAAUCUAUAGAUCUUCGAGAGUAAGGUAUCCUCACCCCUUCCUCAAUUUUUACGCAUUCAUUUGGUCUAUAUUUUGUGUAUUACUGAACCAUUGGUACGUCAUUUCUUAGGGUUUAUGGUUUAGUUAUUAAUAUGUGUCUUAUGCAAUUUUAGGAUGCCAAGGCGUGGUAAAUCUAGGAAACCAAGGGUCAUGACAGGAACUGCCUUCACCCAUCUGCCGCUGCCUAGUGGUGUUCCUGUGCCGAUGUGCUACUGCGGUGAUCUUUGCAAGGUAGCAAAGCCUGAUGAAGAGGAAAUGUAUAAGCAGAGGUCUUGGAUGUAUGAUAAUUAUGUGUUCGACCCUACACCCCGUCAGAUGCGUAUUGGGUUGAUGAUAAGAAUUCUGAAUAUUUGUUUAAUUUUUUUAUCAUAUGAAAUAUUAGUUGUGUGACUAUUGCAUGUUUUGCAGACCCCUCCCCAGCUAUGUGAUUUUAAGCUGUGGAUCGACGCUGAGAUCAAGGAGGAGGACAAGUAGCAUCUGCGGAGAGUGAAGGAGUGGGAUGUGGAGUGGAAGGAGUUGUUGGAGAAGAGACGCCAACAGGAGGCAGCAGAAAAGGAGCGCAAAAAAGAGGUGGAAAGGAGGUAUGCUGCUCACAGCAGCAAAAAGAGGGAGCAAAAUCUUGAGCGUGUUCGCCGUACGAAAGCAGCAAUGGAGGAGAAUCAUGAUGCACUGAGGAAGGAGAAGUGGCCUCAUUUCAUCCAGUAGUAUGCAAGUUUUGCUAGUUCUGUGGUUUAGUCGUACCCAAAGUUGUCAAGUAUUGUAGUAUGUCAUGUACCGGACAUUUCACUGUGUUCUCCUGUAAUUGAUUUUUCAUUGUGCUGUUAUUUACUGUAUCUUCCAGUCGACUAGUGUGCUGUUAUUUUAUUCAUUUUGCUCGUAAUAAUUAUUUCAAUAUUGCAGAGGUAAUCAAACAAGCUAACAUGAUGGAAUUAAAAUUAAAGUCUAAUAAAGUAGUGCAAUACAUAAUUGAACAUGCACAACACAUAAAGUGGCAUGUGAGGACCUCAACCAAAUAAGGGUGAAGAGGUACUGGACUAAACCUAACAUGCCUUUGUUAAUUAAACGAAACAACAAAAAUAUGGAUGUAACAUGUGAACAAGAUAGGUCACUCCUAGUAGUGUUCCCACAUAACAAAUUGUGAUGCCCUUUCUCCAGCAUAUCCUCCAAUUGUAGGCGGUGGUGGUGGUGGCGGCGGUGAAAGCAUCUAGGUUCCUAAUUUGGAUUUUGGUAAUUAAUAAUAAUGAUUGUGGACUAACAAUUUUAUUUGAGAAUUGAGUAUAGGUUAGUCCCGGAGAUGAUUUGAGCCUCUAUAUGUGCUAUGGAGAUAUUCUUUGUGAAUGCAUGAUGGAUGGCUCAAGACAAAGGUAUAAGAUAGGGCUUUUCCAUUUUACCGGUCAAGAGAUGAUUAGCGGAUGAUAUUUUACCGGAUUAAUAGGCUAGAUAACCAUACUAUCAAGAGGGGUCAAUUUCAUUUGCUUGAUGGUUCUACAGUGCCACUCUGUUCAAACAAUUGCAUUACAUGCAUAUAGGAAAAUCGUGUUUGAAAAAGUGGAAACAUCGGAGAGAAAACGCUCGUUGGAAAUGGCUAACUACGCUUAAAAGACGGACAGUCUGCCAUUUGUACGACGGAACGUUCCAUGACUUAGCCAAAAUUCGAGUUGUCUGGUCGAGCUGAAGUUUUCAACGGCGGAUGGACCGGCUCUGGUGGGCGGACGGUCCGCCGGCUGAUGUGAGUGAAUCGACAGAAACUUCAAAGUUUCUGGUGGGCUUUUCACGUUGAACGGCGGACGGUCUGCCUGGUACUGGCGUACAGUCCGCCUGGUUUUGCUGUGCGUCGACAGAAACUCAAAUGUUUCUGUCUAAUUUUUUAUUGUGAACGGCGGACGGUCCGGCCCUAGGGGGUGGAUGGUCUGCCGGCUGAUGCUGCACAACGAUAGAAACUUUGUUGUUUCUGUGUGGUCUUUAACCAUGUACGGCAGACGGUCCGGCCUUAGGGGCGGACGGUCCGCCGAUAAAAAUUUGAAUUACGAUAGAAACUUGACUGUUCUGUGUUGGAACUUCGUUGAACUACGGACGGUCCGUGGCUUGUGAGGCGGACGGUCCACCUAAGCUGUAACGGUCACUUCCGACACAGUUUGACUUUGAACAUAGCCGUUGGUUUGAACGGCGGACCGUCCGGUCCUUGUGAGGCGGACAGUCAGUGAAUGCUCUGUUUUCACGGGUUUUGAUUGUAACGGCUAGCCACGGGGAAGGAGCUAUAUAUACCUCAUGCCCAGCC
rnacentral:lncRNA from 1 species